rnacentral:lncRNA from 1 species
CUCAAGCCAGCAAGAAGCACACACGAAGCUCAUAGCCAUUCAAAGCCUCUCCAUCUCCGAAGCUCCAACCCAACCUCGAAGAUGUCUUGCUGCGGAGGAAACUGCGGCUGCGGCACCGCCUGCAAGUGCGGCAACGGCUGCGGCGGCUGCAACAUGUACCCCGAGGUUGAGGCCGCCGGCGCCACCCUCCUCGUCUCCGCCACCGCCACCCACAAGGCGUAAGUUUCUGUCUCUUAACAAAAUUUCCUCCUGAACCCAUACAUCAUCAUGCACUCGAUCGUAAUAAUAUGACUGGAUGUUGAUCUUGGUAUGGAUGGGGUACGUGCAGGAGCUCCGGCGGGAUGGAGAUGGCGGCCGAGAACGGCGGCUGCGGCUGCACCCAGUGCAAGUGCGGCACCAGCUGCGGCUGCUCCUGCUGCAGCUGCUAGAUCCAUCAUCGAUCAUGCAUGCACCGUGCCGUGCGUGCAUCAUCGAUCAUAUCGAUCUACUACUACCAUACCAUGUAACCGCAACCUGAUCGAGGGCCUUUAUGUACGCACCUGACCUGCAUCAGCAGUCAGGUGCCAUGCCAUGAUUGUAAACAGGCCCCCCUAAAUAAAACCUCCCUUGAUUAACUAUACAUGUGUCGUCUGUGGUAUGCAUAUAUCAUCACCUUCUUUUUCUUCUUCCUCAUGGCAGAAAAAACACUGCUUAAGAGUUGAGAGCGCCGAGAAUAUUACUAGAAAUGGUCAUAAGCAAAAGAUUUAAGGAUGUUGUGACUUUUUGCUCACAAUAAAUAUCUAGUAAAUGCCGAAGACGUACCUGAUGAACUGAAAAUAUCAGUGGAGAUGCAUCUUACCAUAGCAUGCUGAUGCUGGAAAAUAAAAAGGAUGCCGCUGUACCACCCAUACUUAUUAAUCUUAAUUACGAGAAGAUCAAGUUUCUAGCUUCGAAUUAAUUAAACUGUAGACCUCGACAAAAGAUUUAAAAAUAUAUAUUCCCUUUGGGGGAAAGCAAACUAAGACUAAAAGGAAUCCUUUCGCCAAAACAAGACGGAAAUAAAUCAUGAGCGCCACUUUGCACACCAGGUUCGCUUUGCAAGAAUUAUUCGCUUUAGACAGGUUCCGACACGAUAGUAUUACACUUCGCACCAGAUCUGGCACGACAAUAUUAGCAAGACAUUCCCCCUUUUUAUCCACCGCCAAAAAACAUAUUAAUGAUAUAUUUUAAACUGAUCGAUGCUACAUAUUGUUAUUUCACUUUACUGUUGUUGUUGUGUUGUUUCCAUAUUAUUAUUUUCUCUCAGAUUGUUGGUGUGUGGCUCUCUGCAUCUUAGUUCUGCAGAGGCUAGGUGUUGCCCAUCACGAUUUGUAUCUGCUUGAUGCUACAUUUUGAGUUAAUAAAAGUGCCCUUUAUUGGAAAAAAACAUGUUUCACAAGUUAAAAUUGACGACCUAAAUUCCUAUGCCGGACUUAUAUUCCCACAUAAGAAAAUUAUCACUUCAUUUUUCUUCUACCUCAUGGCACAAAAUANNNNNNNNNNNNNNNNNNNNNNNNNNNNNNNNNNNNNNNNNNNNNNNNNNNNNNNNNNNNNNNNNNNNNNNNNNNNNNNNNNNNNNNNNNNNNNNNNNNNNNNNNNNNNNNNNNNNNNNNNNNNNNNNNNNNNNNNNNNNNNNNNNNNNNNNNNNNNNNNNNNNNNNNNNNNNNNNNNNNNNNNNNNNNNNNNNNNNNNNNNNNNNNNNNNNNNNNNNNNNNNNNNNNNNNNNNNNNNNNNNNNNNNNNNNNNNNNNNNNNNNNNNNNNNNNNNNNNNNNNNNNNNNNNNNNNNNNNNNNNNNNNNNNNNCUUGCGGCUCACUUUUCUUUUUUUCCCCCAUCCCCGCACUUGCCCUUUUGCUACUUAUUCGUAUGAAGGCAACAUAAUUUGAGCAACUGCACCAUUUUUUUUUUGCUCAUGUUGACUUGGAUGAAGCUGGGUAUAUGACAAACCCUAUCAUGUAUAUCCUCUUUAUUCUCCUUAGUAUGCACCAAUGAAUCUUUAUGAAUAAUGAAUUUUAGACUUGAAUGUGCACGCGUCUCUCCUCCCUUCGUCUCUCAUCCCAAGAGAAAAUGUGGCUAGGUUUCCUUCCUCCCAUCAGCGGCGCCGCCGAUCUGCCUCGUCUCCUGUGUCUUUAGGACUACGGAGGUGCAGUGGAUCCCGACCCUUGAUGACGGGAGGGCUCCAAUGGAUUUCGUUAGGGUCUGUGCCAUGCUCAGGAAGGCGAGACAUUGGCGGCUCCCUAGAGAUGUAAAAGGUUCUCCCUGCCACUGUCCCGGUGGUGCGUCUAACAUUAUCGGAGAGCAUGUGGAGGUGUGUCUCCAAUGGAUUCUGUAGGAUUCGGUCGGUGGUUGCCUUUGGUGGAUCUGCUCGGAUCUAGACUUCGUUCGUCUAUGUUCGUGUGUCUUCAGGUUGGAUCCUUCCGAUCUACAAUUCACUUCAUCGGCGGCGGUUGUUGUCCUGGUGUGCUGGUCCUAUGGGGUCUUAGCAUGACAACUUCCUGACUAUCUACUACAACAAGUUUUGCCCGGCUCCGGCAAGAGAGGGGUGAUGACGGCAGCCCGUUUUCGGCUCGCUUCAGCGGUUAUAGUCGUCGCUAGGUGGUCUAUGGAUCUAGAUGUAAUAUUUUUUUCGUAUAUUUGUUGUACUGCCACAUGAUUGAAGAUUCAUAGAUCGGAAGUUUCUCGAAAAAUCUUUAUGAAUAACCAUUUCCCUAUCUUCAACUUUGUUGUGUCCAUUCUCAACAUGUGUCUCUUUAGCUUGUAGGGAGGUAUCUUGUUUCUCCCUCAACUUUACAUCUUUGUUCUCAGUAGCGACGCCUCCAAAUCUUAUUCGCUAUCAUAUCCAAGUGGUACAAAUUCAUUUAUGUGGAGAUGGUUUUUUUCUGUUCACUCUCUGCCAAGUAUUUCACAAAAAUAGAUCAUAGCAUGUCGUUGCUUCAACAUAUUUUCCACAAAAUAUAUCUCAUCCUCCUCCUUGCACAUUGUUGCAGUUGGGGAACGUAGUAAUUUCAAAAAAUUUCCUACGCACACGCAAGAUCAUGGUGAUGCAUAGCAACGAGAGGGGAGAGUGUUGUCCACGUACCCUCGUAGACCGAAAGCGGGAGCGUUAGCACAACGCGGUUGAUGUAGUCGUACGUCUUCACGAUCCGACCGAUCAAGUACCGAACGCACGGCACCUCCGAGUUCAGCACACGUUCAGCCCGAUAACGUCCCUCGAACUCCGAUCCAGCCGAGUGUUGAGGGAGAGUUUCGUCAGCACGACGGCGUGGUGACGAUGAUGAUGUUCUACCGACGCAGGGCUUCGCCUAAGCACCGCUACAGUAUUAUCGAGGUGGACUAUGGUGGAGGGGGGCACCGCACACAGCUAAAAGAUCAAACGAUCAAUUGUUGUGUCUCUAGGGUGCCCCCCUGCCCACGUAUAUAAAGGAGAAAGGGGGGAGGUGCGGCCGGCCAGGAGGGGGCGCGCCAGGAGGAGUCCUACUCCCACCGGGAGUACGACUCCCUCCCUUUUCCUUGUGGGAUUAGGAGUGGGGGGAAGAGGAAGAGGAGAAGAAGGAANNNNNNNNNNNNNNNNNNNNNNNNNNNNNNNNNNNNNNNNNNNNNNNNNNNNNNNNNNNNNNNNNNNNNNNNNNNNNNNNNNNNNNNNNNNNNNNNNNNNNNNNNNNNNNNNNNNNNNNNNNNNNNNNNNNNNNNNNNNNNNNNNNNNNNNNNNNNNNNNNNNNNNNNNNNNNNNNNNNNNNNNNNNNNNNNNNNNNNNNNNNNNNNNNUGUCCAAUUCGGACUAUAGGGGGAGGGGGCGCGCGGCCUGCCCUGGCCGCCCCUCCUCUUCUCCACUAAGGCCCACUAUGGCCCAUUAAACCCCCGAGGGGUUCCGGUAACCCCUCCGGUACUCCGGUAAAAUCCCGAUUUCACCCGAAACACUUCCGAUAUCCAAAUAUAGGCUUCCAAUAUAUCAAUCUUCAUGUCUCGACCAUUUCGAGACUCCUCGUCUUUUCCGUGAUCACAUCCGGGACUCCGAACAACCUUCGGUACAUCAAAACUCAUAAACUCAUAAUAUAACCGUCAUCGAAACUUUAAGCGUGCGGACCCUACGGGUUCGAGAACUAUGUAGACAUGACCGAGACAUGUCUCCGGUCAAUAACCAAUAGCGGAACCUGGAUGCUCAUAUUGGCUCCCACAUAUUCUACGAAGAUCUUUAUCGGUCAAACCGCAUAACAACAUACGUUGUUCCCUUUGUCAUCGGUAUGUUACUUGCCCGAGAUUCGAUCGUCGGUAUCAAUACCUAGUUCAAUCUCGUUACCGGCAAGUCUCUUUACUCGUUCCAUAAUACAUCAUCCCGCAACUAUCUCAUUAGUUGCAAUGCUUGCAAGGCUUAAGUGAUGUGCAUUACCGAGUGGGCCCAGAGAUACCUCUCCGACAAUCGGAGUGACAAAUCCUAAUCUCGAAAUACGCCAACCCAACAAGUACCUUCGGAGACACCUGUAGAGCACCUUUAUAAUCACUCAGUUACGUUGUGACGUUUGGUAGCACACAAAGUGUUCCUCCGGUAAACGGGAGUUGCAUAAUCUCAUAGUCACAGGAACAUGUAUAAGUCAUGAAGAAAGCAAUAGCAACAUACUAAACGAUCGAGUGCUAAGCUAACGGAAUGGGUCAAGUCAAUCACAUCGUUCUCCUAAUGAUGUGAUCCCGUUAAUCAAAUGACAACUCAUGUCUAUGGCUAGGAAACAUAACCAUUUUUGAUCAACGAGCUAGUCAAGUAGAGGCAUACUAGUGACACUCUGUUUGUCUAUGUAUUCACACAAGUAUUAUGUUUCCGGUUAAUACAAUUCUAGCAUGAAUGAUAAACAUUUAUCAUGAUAUAAGGAAAUAAAUAAUAACUUUAUUAUUGCCUCUAGGGCAUAUUUCCUUCAGUCUCCCACUUGCACUAGAGUCAAUAAUCUAGAUUACACAGUGCUCGUGGAAGAGGCUUAGUCAAUGGGUCUGCAACAUUCAGAUCCGUAUCUAUCUUGCAAAUUCCUAUCUCUCCCACCUGGACUAAAUCCCGGAUGGAAUUGAAGCGUCUCUUGAUGUGCUUGGUUCUCUUGUGAAAUCUGGAUUCCUUCGCCAAGGCAAUUGCACCAGUAUUGUCACAAAAGAUUUUCAUUGGACCCGAUGCACUAGGUAUGACACCUAGACCGAUGCACUAGAUAUGACACCUAGAUCGGAUAUGAACUCCUUCAUCCAGACUCCUUCAUUUGCUGCUUCCGAAGCAGCUAUGUACUCCGCUUCACACGUAGAUCCCGCCACGACGCUUUGUUUAGAACUGCACCAACUGACAGCUCCACCGUUCAAUGUAAACACGUAUCCGGUUUGCGAUUUAGAAUCGUCCGGAUCAGUGUCAAAGUUUGCAUCAACGUAACCAUUUACGAUGAGCUCUUUGUCACCUCCAUAAACGAGAAACGUAUCCUUAGUCCUUUUCAGGUAUUUCAGGAUGUUCUUGACCGCUGUCCAGUGAUCCACUCCUGGAUUACUUUGGUACCUCCCUGCCAAACUUAUAGCAAGGCACACAUCAGGUCUGGUACACAGCCGUGCAUACAUGAUAGAGCCUAUGGCUGAAGCAUAGGGAACAUCUUUCAUCUUCUCUCUAUCUUCUGCAGUGGUCGGGCAUUGAGUCUUAUUCAACUUCACACCUUGUAACACAGGCAAGAACCCUUUCUUUGCUUGAUCCAUUUUGAACUUCUUCAAAACUUUGUCAAGGUAUGUGCUUUGUGAAAGUCCAAUUAAGCGUCUUGAUCUAUCUCUAUAGAUCUUAAUGCCCAAUAUAUAAGCAGCUUCACCGAGGUCUUUCGUUAAAAAACUCUUAUUCAAGUAUCCCUUUAUGCUAUCCAGAAAUUCUAUAUCAUUUCCAAUCAACAAUAUGUCAUCCACAUAUAAUAUCAGAAAUGCUACAGAGCUCCCACUCACUUUCUUGUAAAUACAGGCUUCUCCAAAAGUCUGUAUAAAACCAAAUGUUUUGAUCACACUAUCAAAGCGUUUAUUCCAACUCCGAGAGGCUUGCACCAGUCCAUAAAUGGAUCGCUGGAGCUUGCACACUUUGUUAGCUCCCUUUGGAUCGACAAAACCUUCUGGUUGCAUCAUAUACAACUCUUCUUCUAGAAAUCCAUUCAGGAAUGCAGUUUUUACAUCCAUUUGCCAAAUUUCAUAAUCAUAAAAUGCGGCAAUUUCUAACAUGAUUCGGACAGACUUAAGCAUCACUACGGGUGAGAAGGUCUCAUCGUAGUCAAUCCCUUGAACUUGUCGAAAACCUUUUGCAACAAGUUGAGCUUUAUAGACAGUAACAUUACCGUCAGCGUCAGUCUUCUUCUUGAAGAUCCAUUUAUUCUCUAUGGCUUGCCGAUCAUCGGGCAACUCAACCAAAGUCCACACUUUGUUCUCAUACAUGGAUCCCAUCUCAGAUUUCAUGGCCUCAAGCCAUUUUGCGGAAUCUGGGCUCACCAUCGCUUCUUCAUAGUUCGUAGAUUCGUCAUGGUCUAGUAACAUAACCUCCAGAACAGGAUUACCGUACCACUCUGGUGCGGAUCUUACUCUGGUUGACCUACGAGGUUCAGUAACAACUUGAUCUGAAGUUUCAUGAUCAUCAUCAUUAACUUCCUCACUAAUUGGUAUAGACGUCACAGGAACCGGUUUCUGUGAUGAACUAAUUUCCAAUAAGGGAGCAGGUACGGUUACCUCAUCAAGUUCUACUUUCCUCCCACUCACUUCUUUCGAGAGAAACUCCUUCUCUAGAAAGGAUCCAUUCUUAGCAACGAAUGUCUUGCCUUCGGAUCUGUGAUAGAAGGUGUACCCAACAUUCUCCUUUGGGUAUCCUAUGAAGACACAUUUCUUCGAUUUGGGUUCGAGCUUACCAGGUUGAAGCUUUUUCACAUAAGCAUCGCAGCCCCAAACUUUAAGAAACGACAACUUUGGUUUAUUGCCAAACCACAGUUCAUAAGGCGUCGUCUCAACGGAUUUUGAUGGUGUCCUAUUUAACGUGAAUGCGGCCGUCUCUAAAGCAUAACCCCAAAACAAUAGCGGUAAAUCAGUAAGAGACAUCAUAGAUCGCACCAGAUCUAGUAAAGUACGAUUACGACGUUCGGACACACCAUUACGCUUUGGUGUUCCGGGUGGCGUGAGUUGCGAAACUAUUCCGCAUUGUUUCAAAUGUAGACCAAACUCGUAACUCAAAUAUUCUCCUCCACGAUCAGAUCGUAGAAACUUUAUUUUCUUGUUACGAUGAUUUUCAACUUCACUCUAAAAUUCUUUGUACUUUUCAAAUGUUUCAGACUUAUGUUUCAUUAAGUAGAUAUACCCAUAUCUGCUUAAAUCAUUUGUGAAGGUGAGAAAAUAAUGAUACCCGCCGCAAGCUUCAACAUUCAUUGGACCACAUACAUCAGUAUGUAUGAUCUCCAACAAAUCAGUUGCUCGAUCCAUAAUUCCAUAGAACGGCAUUUUAGUCAUCUUGCCCAUGAGGCAUGGUUCACAAGUACCAAGUGAUUCAUAAUCAAGUGAUUCCAGAAGUCCAUCAGUAUGGAGUUUCUUCAUGCGCUUUACACCAAUAUGACCCAAACGACAGUGCCACAAAUAAGUUGCACUAUCAUUAUUAACUCUGCAUCUUUUGGCUUCAACAUUAUGAAUAUGUGUAUCACUACUAUCGAGAUUCAUCAAAAAUAGACCACUCUUCAAGGGUGCAUGACCAUAAAAGAUAUUACUCAUAUAAAUAGAACAACCAUUAUUCUCUGAUUUAAAUGAAUAACCGUCUCGCAUCAAACAAGACCCAGAUAUAAUGUUCAUGCUCAACGCUGGCACCAAAUAACAAUUAUUUAGGUACUAAUCCCGAAGGUAGAUGUAGAGGUAGCGUGCCGAAGGCGAUCACAUCAACUUUGGAACCAUUUCCCACGCGCAUCGUCACCUCGUCCUUAGCCAGUGUCCGCUUAAUCUGUAGUCCCUGUUCGAGUUGCAAAUAUUAGCAACAGAACCAUUAUCAAAUACCCAGGUGCUACUGCGAGUUCUGGUAAGGUACACAUCAAUAACAUGUAUAUCACAUAUACUUCCUUCUUAUCCGCCAAAUACUUGGGGCAGUUCCGCUUCCAGUGACCAGUCUGCUUGCAGUAGAAGCACUCAGUCUCAGGCUUAGGUCCAGACUUGGGUUUCUUCUCUUGAGCAGCAACUUGCUUGAUGUUCUUCUUGAAGUUCCCCUUCUUCUUCCUUUGCCUUUUUUCUUAAAACUGGUGGUCUUAUUGACCAUCAACACUUGAUGCUCCUUCUUGAUUUCUACCUCCGUAGCCUUUAGCAUUGCGAAGAGCUCGGGAAUCGUCUUAUCCAUCCCUUGCAUGUUAUAGUUCAUCACGAAGCUCUUGUAGCUUGGUGGCAGUGAUUGAAGAAUUCUGUCAAUGACGCUAUCGUCCGGAAGAUUAACUCCCAGUUGAAUCAAGUGAUUGUUAUACCCAGACAUUUUGAGUAUAUGCUCACUGACUGAACUAUUCUCCUCCAUCUUGCAGCUAUAGAACUUAUUGGAGACUUCAUAUCUCUCAAUCCCGGCAUUUGCUUGAAAUAUUAACUUCAACUCCUGGAACAUCUCAUAUGCUCCAUGACGUUCAAGACGUCGUUGAAGUCCCGGUUCUAAGCCGUAAAGCAUGGCACACUGAACUAUCGAGUAGUCAUCAACUUUGCUCUGCCAGACGUUCAUAACAUCUGGUGUUGCUCCAGCAGCAGGUUCGACACCUAGCGGUGCUUCCAGGACGUAAUUCUUCUGUGCAGCAAUGAGGAUAAUCCUCAAGCUACGGACCCAGUCUGUGUAAUUGCUACCAUCAUCUUUCAACUUUGCUUUCUCAAGGAACGCAUUAAAAUUCAACGGAACAACAGCACGGGCCAUCUAUCUACAAUCAACAUAGACAAGCAAGAUACUAUCAGGUACUAAGUUCAUGAUAAAUUUAAGUUCAAUUAAUCAUAUUACUUAAGAACUCCCACUUAGAUAGACAUCCCUCUAAUCCUCUAAGUGAUCACGUGAUCCAUAUCAACUAAACCAUAACCGAUCAUCACGUGAAAUGGAGUAGCUUUCAAUGGUGAACAUCACUAUGUUGAUCAUAUCUACUAUAUGAUUCACGCUCGACCUUUCGUUCUCAGUGUUCCGAGGCCAUAUCUGCAUAUGCUAGGCUCGUCAAGUUUAACCUGAGUAUUCUGCGUGUGCAAAACUGGCUUGCACCCGUUGUAGAUGGACGUAGAGCUUAUCACACCCGAUCAUCACGUGGUGUCUGGGCACGACGAACUUUGGCAACGGUGCAUACUCAGGGAGAACACUUUUAUCUUGAAAUUUAGUGAGAGAUCAUCUUAUAAUGCUACCGUCAAUCAAAGCAAGAUAAGAUGCAUAAAAGAUAAACAUCACAUGCAAUCAAUAUAAGUGAUAUGAUAUGGCCAUCAUCAUCUUGUGCUUGUGAUCUCCAUCUCCGAAGCACCGUCAUGAUCACCAUCGUCACCGGCGCGACACCUUGAUCUCCAUCGUAGCAUCGUUGUCGUCUCGCCAAUCUUAUGCUUCUACGACUAUCGCUACCGCUUAGUGAUAAAGUAAAGUAUUACAGGCCGAUUGCAUUGCAUAUAAUAAAGCGACAACCAUAUGGCUCCUGCCAGUUGCCGAUAACUCGGUUACAAAACAUGAUCAUCUCAUACAAUAAAAUUUAGCAUCAUGUCUUGACCAUAUCACAUCACAACAUGCCCUGCAAAAACAAGUUAGACGUCCUCUACUUUGUUGUUGCAAGUUUUACGUGGUUGCUACGAGCUUAGCAAGAACCGUUCUUACCUACGCAUCAAAACCAUAACGAUAGUUUGUCAAGUUGGUGUUGUUUUAACCUUCGCAAGGACCGGGCGUAGCCACACUCGGUUCAACUAAAGUUGGAGAAACUGACACCCGCCAGCCACCUAUGUGCAAAGCACGUCGGUAGAACCAGUCUCGCGUAAGCGUACGCGUAAUGUCGGUCCGGGCCGCUUCAUCCAACAAUACCGCCGAACAAAAGUAUGACAUGCUGGUAAGCAGUAUGACUUAUAUCGCCCACAACUCACUUGUGUUCUACUCGUGCAUAUGACAUCUACGCAUAAAACCAGGCUCGGAUGCCACUGUUGGGGAACGUAGUAAUUUCAAAAAAAAUACUACGCACACGUAAGAUCAUGGUGAUGCAUAGCAACGAGAGGGGAGAGUGUUGUCCGCGUACCCUCGUAGACCGAAAGCGGAAGCGUUAGCACAACGCGGUUGAUGUAGUCGUACGUCUUCACGAUCCGACCGAUCAAGUACCGAACGCACGACACCUCCGAGUUCAGCACACGUUCAGCCCGAUGACGUCCCUCGAACUCCGAUCCAGCCGAGUGUUGAGGGAGAGUUUCGUCAGCACGACGGCGUGGUGACAAUGAUGAUGUUCUACCGACGCAGGGCUUCGCCUAAGCACCGCUAUAGUAUUAUCGAGGUGGACUAUGGUGGAGGGGGCACCGCACACGGCUAAAAGAUCAAACGAUCAAUUGUUGUGUCUCUAGGGUGCCCCCCUGCCCCCGUAUAUAAAGGAGCAAGGGGGGAGGUGCGGCCGGCCAGGAGGGGGCGCGCCAGAAGGAGUCCUACUCCCACCGGGAGUAGGAGUCCCUCCCUUUUCCUUGUUGGAUUAGGAGUGGGGGGGAGGAAGAGGAGAAGAAGGAAAGGGGGGCGCCCCCCCUCCUUGUCCAAUUCGGACUAUAGGGGGAGGGGGGGCGCGGCCUGCCCUGGCCGCCCCUCCUCUUCUCCACUAAGGCCCACUAUGGCCCAUUAAACCCCCGGGGGGUUCCGGUAACCCCUCCGGUACUCCGGUAAAAUCCCGAUUUCAGCCGGAACACUUCCGAUAUCCAAAUAUAGGCUUCCAAUAUAUCCAUCUUUACCUCUCGACCAUUUCGAGACUCCUCGUCUUGUCCGUGGUCACAUCCGGGACUCCGAACAACCUUCGGUACAUCAAAACUCAUAAACUCAUAAUAUAACCGUCAUCGAAACUUUAAGCGUGCGGACCCGACGGGUUCGAGAACUAUGUAGACUUGACCGAGACACGUCUCCGGUCAAUAACCAAUAGCGGAACCUGGAUGCUCAUAUUGGCUCCCACAUAUUCUACGAAGAUCUUUAUCGGUCAAACCGCAUAACAACAUACGUUGUUCCCUUUGUCAUCGGUAUGUUACUUGCCCGAGAUUCGAUCGUCGGUAUCUCAAUACCUAGUUCAAUCUCGUUACCGGCAAGUCUCUUUACUCGUUCCGUAAUACAUCAUCCUGCAACUAACUCAUUAGUUGCAAUGCUUGCAAGGCUUAAGUGAUGUGCAUUACCGAGUGGGCCCAGAGAUACCUCUCUGACAAUCGGAGUGACAAAUCCUAAUCUCGAAUACGCCAACCCAACAAGUACCUUCGGAGACACCUGUAGAGCACCUUUAUAAUCACUCAGUUACGUUGUGACGUUUGGUAGCACACAAAGUGUUCCUCCGGUAAACGGGAGUUGCAUAAUCUCAUAGUCAUAGGAACAUGUAUAAGUCAUGAAGAAAGCAAUAGCAACAUACUAAACGAUCGAGUGCUAAGCUAACGGAAUGGGUCAAGUCAAUCACAUCAUUCUCCUAAUGAUGUGAUCCCGUUAAUCAAAUGACAACUCAUGUCUAUGGCUAGGAAACAUAACCAUCUUUGAUCAACGAGCUAGUCAAGUAGAGGCAUACUAGUGACACUCUGUUUGUCUAUGUAUUCACACAAGUAUUAUGUUUCCGGUUAAUACAAUUCUAGCAUGAAUAAUAAACAUUUAUCUUGAUAUAAGGAAAUAAAUAAUAACUUUAUUAUUGCCUCUAGGGCAUAUUUCCUUCAGUCUCCCACUUGCACUAGAGUCAAUAAUCUAGAUUACACAGUAAUGAUUCUAACACCCAUGGAGUCUUGGUGCUGAUCAUGUUUUGCUCAUGGAAGAGGCUUAGUCAAUGGGUCUGCAACAUUCAGAUCCGUAUGUAUCUUGCAAAUUCCUAUGUCUCCCACCUGUACUAAAUCCCGGAUGGAAUUGAAGCGUCUCUUGAUGUGCUCUGUUCUCUUGUGAAAUCUGGAUUCCUUCGCCAAGGCAAUUGCACCAGUAUUGUCACAAAAGAUUUUCAUUGGAUCCGAUGCACUAGGUAUGACACCUAGACCGAUGCACUAGGUAUGACACCUAGAUCGGAUAUGAACUCCUUCAUCCAGACUCCUUCAUUUGCUGCUUCCGAAGCAGCUAUGUACUCCGCUUCACACGUAGAUCCCGCCACGAUGCUUUGUUUAGAACUGCACCAACUGACAGCUCCACCGUUCAAUGUAAACACGUAUCCGGUUUGCGAUUUAGAAUCGUCCGGAUCAGUGUCAAAGUUUGCAUCAACGUAACCAUUUACGAUGAGCUCUUUGUCACCUCCAUAAACGAGAAACAUAUCCUUAGUCCUUUUCAGGUAUUUCAGGAUGUUCUUGACCGCUGUCCAGUGAUCCACUCCUGGAUUACUUUGGUACCUCCCUGCCAAACUUAUAGCAAGGCACACAUCAGGUGAAAUACACCAUCCGGUGAACCAAAAUAAAACAAACACGUGGGAGUUUAAGAAAGCGAAGGACAUGUCAUGGUCCGCCAACAUGGCUUUCGAAUCGAUCAAAUAACAUAAAAAGGAAACGGGCAAUACUACAAACUACUUCCUAAAAUCAGUGUUGUGGUUUUAGUUCAAAUCAUGACACUUAUUUUGGAACGGGGGGAGUAUAUUAUCAAUGACAUAUGGUUAAACAACGCCAAAGAUCCAGUAAAAACAAUUAAGCAUAUCGAAAUCGACUCAUAGCAUUUUCCUUUUUCUUUUUCGCAUUUAUGCUUUUUUGGGGAAACUUUCUCAACUUUAUUCAUUUGGAAUGUUCAUAGGUAUCAUUGUAAGGUCAUGAGCUUCAAAACUUCUGUUGCUGUGUUCAUGGGCACUGAUCUACAGACCUGAAACUCAUUCCUUGUGGCACUGAUCUCACAAAUGAUGGCCCCCCUGAACCUUCUUCAAUAUCUUUCACAAUUGACAAACAAUCAGCAACAAAUAACCUUCAAACAAGAAGAUCAGCGGCCAAUGCCUGUGCUUUCUUGCAUGUCAGAGUUUCCAUAAUUGUCGGAUCAACCAUUUGAGAAAACACCACAACCGACGAACCAAGGAACGCUCCGGUAUCGCUGCAGCUAACAACUCCCACUGCACCGAACUGACAAUUCCUCUAUGUGAUUGAUACUACUCUGGUUGCAUUUUUUUUAGAAUUACUACUCUAGUUGCAUGGAAAUCAGCUCAGUAGCAUUUUUACUUUAUUUUUUUCCUUGGCCCAUUAGUUUUUACACACACGAACGGCCUUGGGCCUAUUAUUUACAUGGCUAGCUGUACAGAUGGUGCAUUUCCAUGAGCCCAAGUAGCAUGCUCAUGUUUUGCGGCUGCUGCUGCUGCUGUAGACCGGUGCCAUUAAAUUUCCAGCAGCAUAAUUUCAAGCUUGCUCUUUUGUUCAUGUGUUCGACAAAACCGUCUGUUCAUGUUUUCAAGCUUGCUCUUUUGUCCAUGUAAAACCGUCGUUUGAAUGUACCGGCGCACAACAAACUAUAUAUGCUGUUAGUCAGAUCUAUCACCGUGGUGUAGUCUCAGAUCAUAUCUGGGUGUACUGAUGCUACUAUCCGAAUAUAUCUGUUGGUGAAAUGUCUUCCCUUUGUGCGGUUAUGUGCCGGCUUUUCGUAAAACAAGAGCGAAAAUGGGAAGAGUUCAUUUAACGGAAAACUCUGUUGGUAUCUGAAGGGAAGAGUUUAUCUGAAAAUGUGCCAACUAUAUUAUGAUAAUCGUUGGCCUGCAAUCAAGCUCUGCAUGCGUUCACAUGAUGACUUCUUUUCUUGUGGAUCAGUGACUUAAGCAUAUAUAAGUUAUAAAAAUUUCCAGCUUGUAAUGUUAUUUUAAAAGUGUUGGACCAAAUUGUCAUGUAGGUUUCGUGGUGUAGUUGGUUAUCACGUCAGUCUAACACACUGAAGGUCUCCGGUUCGAACCCGGGCGAAGCCAUCAAAUUUAUUUUUCCUUUUUUUUCUCGCAUUUUCCAAUGAGUAAAAAAAAGAAAAAAAACAAAUUGGCCCAUACAGGUCUCGAACCUGUGACCUUCGCGUUAUUAGCACGACGCUCUAACCAGCUGAGCUAAUAGGCCUCUUCGUGAUUUGCACGUUUUCUUCCCUCUUCUAACUAUUGUUUUGCGACCAUAUGAUAUACGAUCGCCCGAAAGGCUAUAUAUUAUAUAACCACAAGGGAAAACAGUUACUAAAGCCACGACAAAAAUUAUGGAACGGAGAGGGUGCUGGUUAAAUUGAUCACUGGCCGAGUUCAUGCCCAUCAAUCAUAUCUUUACUAUUACUAUCUCCGUUUUUAUUUACUCUGCAUAUUAUUUUGCCUAAAAUAAAACUUUAUAAAUUUUGAUCAAGCUUAUGAAAUACUUAUUAACAUAUGCAAUACCAAACCAAUACUAUUAGAUUAAACAUUGAUUAUAUUUUUUACAUCAUAUAUACUAUUUGAACCCGGGCGAAGCCAACAAAUCUUUUUUUAUUUUUCAAUUUUUUUCUACUGUGUAAAAAAUACAAAGAAAAUAUAAUGGCCCAUACAGGUCUCGAACCUGUGACCUUCGCGUUAUUAGCACGACGCUCUAACCAACUGAGCUAAUAGGCCUUUUGCAAGUUUGGAAAGAGUUACCCACUAUACUUCCGAAAACAGAAUAAGACUUUUGGUGAGAGGAAAAGAGUAAGAAGAUCAAAAAAAUUCCUGGCGUAACAAAAAAUGUAUAAUCUGUCUGGAAAAAACUAGACAUAAAAAAUACAUGUUUUCAAAAAUGUUAAUCGUGUAUUUGUAAAUUUUUGAAGGUGUAUAUAAAAACUGUUCCUGAUGUAUACAGAAAUGGUACAAUGUUUAUGGAAAAAGGUAGACAUAAAAAAAUAUUAAUUUUUUAAAUAUGAUGCGCAUGUGUUUGGAAAAUGCUAAUCCUGUAUGUAAAAUGCUAAUCCUGUAUAUAAAAAAUGUUCCUGAUGUAUAUAAAUUGUUUUGAAUGUGUGUUUAAAAGGAUGAGCUCGAAAUAUAUGCUUGAAAACAAUAUUAACCAUGUAUUUCAAAAAAGUUCAACUUGUAGAUGAUUUAUUUAUGUUUAUGAAAAAUGUUUCAUGUAACUUGAUUUUUUUAAUGUUUAUAAAAAUAUAUUCCCGUUCUAUAAGGAAAGGGAAUGAAAAACCAAUAAUAAUCAACAAAAUAGAAAAAACCAAGAAAACAAAUUAAAACCGUUGCGAAAGAAUGAAAACAGUAAAAACCCUAGAAAGAAUAAAAGAAAAACGUAGGAACCCGAUGAAAACCGAGAAAUAAACAAAUAAAUUCGAAGAAAAAUAAAGAAAACAGGAAACAAAAUAAGAACAUUGAAAAGGGAGAAAGAAACAAAGAAACCAAACAAAGUCGGAGAGAAAAGAAAGAAAAGAAAAAAUGCAAAGAACAAGAAAGAAACAGGAAAACCAGGUGAAAAACAAAAAAAAACUGAAAAACCCAAAAACCGAUGAAGAAACAAAUAACCAAGAGAAACAAGAAAGACAAAAAGCGAGAGGAAACCGAAGCGAACAGCAUACUGGCGGCUAGCAAGUGAGGAAUGCACGAAUAUUGGCUGGCGUAGGUCGCAGGAAAUCCAUCGGGCGAGACUUGUUUGCAUCUCUCGUAGAGCGACAUAUAGGUCUCGUGGUUCUAUAUUGCCUUUUUUUAGACAAUUCAUCGAAGUUUUAUUAAUUUGUCACAAUAUUUACAUCAACGAAAGAAAGAUUUCUAGGAUGAUCUAAUCAGACAUGGCGGCCCCCCAAAGGUAAGAGCAUGCUUCACUAAAUUGUGAGCUUCAAAAUUUGAGCUCCUACAUUCAUCAACUAUUUUACAAGAAGUAAAGGAAGCAGAGUAGAUAAUGAUCUCCCGAAUUACUGCUCCAUAACUUGCCAGAUUUCGCUGUUGAAUGUCAUCGAACACCACCUUGCAAUCUGAUGCAAUAUAUAUUCUUUGUAUAUAAAGAUCAUCCGCUAGGGCCAUGUGACGCCCGGAUAGUUAAGCUACAGUAACCCUCUGCUAAUUAUGCCACGUCACCUCGGUUAUUUUAGAUAAACUCGCGUUGAUUCGAAACCGAUUCUAAUUCAAUUUCAAAACCAAGGUAAACAACAAAAAUUUUCAAACAUUGAAAUUAAAAUGUUCGGGUCGUGCCAGAUAAUGCAUAGGUGAUUAUGGUGGUGAAACCAAACUUUUAUGAAAUGCUUAACUGCACUAAAAUAAUUUAAAUAGUAGCAAACCUAAUUAUUUAAAUGCCUUUACUAAUUAAUAAAUUAUCAAACUAAAUUAUUUGGGAACUAGACUUUUUUUGACAGUGGACUAAACUGAAAUACUAAAUUAAAUGCUAAGUAUAUAUUUUACAGAAACUAAAAUAAUAGGAAACAAAGAUAAAACAAAAAUAAGAGAAAACAGUAAAAAAGAAAAAGGGCAAGGCAAAAAAAAAACACAACCCACCCCNNNNNNNNNNNNNNNNNNNNNNNNNNNNNNNNNNNNNNNNNNNNNNNNNNNNNNNNNNNNNNNNNNNNNNNNNNNNNNNNNNNNNNNNNNNNNNNNNNNNNNNNNNNNNNNNNNNNNNNNNNNNNNNNNNNNNNNNNNNNNNNNNNNNNNNNNNNNNNNNNNNNNNNNNNNNNNNNNNNNNNNNNNNNNNNNNNNNNNNNNNNNNNNNNNNNNNNNNNNNNNNNNNNNNNNNNNNNNNNNNNNNNNNNNNNNNNNNNNNNNNNNNNNNNNNNNNNNNNNNNNNNNNNNNNNNNNNNNNNNNNNNNNNNNNNNNNNNNNNNNNNNNNNNNNNNNNNNNNNNNNNNNNNNNNNNNNNNNNNNNNNNNNNNNNNNNNNNNNNNNNNNNNNNNNNNNNNNNNNNNNNNNNNNNNNNNNNNNNNNNNNNNNNNNNNNNNNNNNNNNNNNNNNNNNNNNNNNNNNNNNNNNNNNNNNNNNNNNNNNNNNNNNNNNNNNNNNNNNNNNNNNNNNNNNNNNNNNNNNNNNNNNNNNNNNNNNNNNNNNNNNNNNNNNNNNNNNNNNNNNNNNNNNNNNNNNNNNNNNNNNNNNNNNNNNNNNNNNNNNNNNNNNNNNNNNNNNNNNNNNNNNNNNNNNNNNNNNNNNNNNNNNNNNNNNNNNNNNNNNNNNNNNNNNNNNNNNNNNNNNNNNNNNNNNNNNNNNNNNNNNNNNNNNNNNNNNNNNNNNNNNNNNNNNNNNNNNNNNNNNNNNNNNNNNNNNNNNNNNNNNNNNNNNNNNNNNNNNNNNNNNNNNNNNNNNNNNNNNNNNNNNNNNNNNNNNNNNNNNNNNNNNNNNNNNNNNNNNNNNNNNNNNNNNNNNNNNNNNNNNNNNNNNNNNNNNNNNNNNNNNNNNNNNNNNNNNNNNNNNNNNNNNNNNNNNNNNNNNNNNNNNNNNNNNNNNNNNNNNNNNNNNNNNNNNNNNNNNNNNNNNNNNNNNNNNNNNNNNNNNNNNNNNNNNNNNNNNNNNNNNNNNNNNNNNNNNNNNNNNNNNNNNNNNNNNNNNNNNNNNNNNNNNNNNNNNNNNNNNNNNNNNNNNNNNNNNNNNNNNNNNNNNNNNNNNNNNNNNNNNNNNNNNNNNNNNNNNNNNNNNNNNNNNNNNNNNNNNNNNNNNNNNNNNNNNNNNNNNNNNNNNNNNNNNNNNNNNNNNNNNNNNNNNNNNNNNNNNNNNNGGCCGCCGCAACCGCCGCCUGGGCCGCGCCUGACCAGGCUCGGGCGCCCACGCCCGUGCGCCCAGCGCCCGUAAACCGCCACCCGUGCGCCCGCUAUGCCCUCCCUGUGCCUAUGACUAGUGGGCCCGGCCCCAGAAAGUUUUUUUAAAAAGGAAUUAAAAAUAAUAAUAAUAAAUAAAAUUAAUUAAUUAGUUUAAUUAGUGAUCUAAUUAAUUAGUUAACUCUGUUUAGUAAUCUAAUUAAUUAGUUAGUUUAAUUAAACAAUAAUUAGAUUAGUUAAACCCUAAUUAGAUUAAACAGGGUAUGACAGCUGGGACCCACACGUCAGUUUGACCCAGUCAACGCCCUGUUGACUGCUGACAUCAGCAUACACUAUUCUGGAUAAUGUUAAUUUAAAAUAAUUAAAUAAACCCUCUCUGCUCCCGAUCUGAACUCACCGCCAGCCGCCUCCCGCCUGCCUCGCCGGUUAAUCGCCGUCGACGCCUCCCGCCUGGAUCCGUGCCUCGCCCUGCCCUUGGCGGCACGCUGCCUGCGCGGUCCACCGCGGCCAGCCGCCCAGUCCGCAGACCGGUCCUGCCCGGUGGCCGCCGGUGACCCUGCCCUGCACUACAGCAGCUAGCCUUCCCACUGUCCCACGACUAAACACAGCACACACGUACGGUUAUCCCCAUUCCCCAAUUUUCCCAAUUUCUGAUUCAACCCUUAUGUUGAUCGAUUGAUUUUCUGUUGUUCAAUUAUGAUUGACACUUGAUAGAACUGCUAGAAUUUUUUUCUUAUAGAAUUGUUGAAGAAUUCGUAUGUACUUCUGUAUUUAAAGCAGCGGCUUAAUUGAGAAUUUUAAUGGGUCCGUAAGAACGUAUUGAUUUAUUUAUAUGUGCUAUUGGUAAAUUAAUUAGAACGUUCACAUGUCAUAUUGAUUUAUUUAUGUGUGUUUUAAAUUCCUAGAUCCGCCACUGUCUCAAGGAGCAGGCUAGUCAGCAGCCAGCAGCGAGGCACAGAGGCAGGCGGCUCGCCGGUUUAGAUAUCCACUACGCGCUCGCAGCUUCUGCCCCGCAAGCUCGCGCUUCAGCAGAGAUGCAGAGGCCGGUGGAUUUCAAGCUCCCCCACUUUUUCAACUACCCGCCCUACUUCACGUAAUCUCUCUCCUCCCCCCUCCUCCAGCAUUAGUGUCACAUGUUUGAACAUUUUGCAUGAUUAGCGGUUCUGCAGUAUGUAUAGCCGUAUAUGAGUAGAAGAUUCUUACUCGGUGCCUGGUGAAAAAAUUGGGCACUUAACUUCUGCUCCAAGUGCUACGUUAGCAAUGAAAUUACUUUUCAGUGAACGGAAACACUAACGCCCACACGUGUGGCACUUCUUCAACUUGCCCACACGCCUGGAUCAUCGUCCACUUGACACAAAAAGGUGGAUUUGGUGUGCCACGUAUGACCGGGCUGGUGUGUAGGCGUUGGAGGGUUUGCCCACACGCCCCGCAUCACGCUGUUUGCCAGCUGCGUGUGUAGGCGAACUAGUUUCUGCCCACACAACCACCACCUAGUCCAUGCGCGUGUGGGCGAACUGCUUUUCGCCACACGACGACUCCUACGUUGUGGAUGGCAACUGCAGUUACGCGAACGUGGCAACUUGGUACACACACAUGGCAACUGUGAUUCUUUGCUAGACGGCAACUGCAGUUGCGCGUACGUGGCAACCAGACACACAUGGCAACUGUGAUUAACCAUACAUGGCAACUAUGGUUGGACCACACGUGACAACUAGGUAAACACACAUGGCAACUACUGUUUGACCAUAUGUGGCAAGUAGUUAAUCACACAAGGCAACUACGGUUUGAUUACACGCGGCAACUACCAUAAAUUAGACAUGGCUACUAUAGUUAACCCAAACAGAUAGAGUUGCCAUGCUUUUACAACUACACUUGCCAUCCCGAAUAACUACAUCUGCCAUCCCGGAUGGCAACUAAAUCGUCAUCCGUGGGUACCUAAUGUAGCUGCGCCAGGACGUGUGGGCAUUCUUGCUUCGUGCCACAUGCGCGAGGUGGAGAUGAGUAGUACUUGUUAGGCGUGUGGCACGAAAUAGCCGCGCCCACACGUGUGGGCAAUUCUAAUGGACGCUCACACACAGCCCGUAUGGGCUGCCUCGUGCUCACGCCACACACGAUGUGUGGGCGGAUGCCUAAUAUACCACACGUGUGGCAGUUAUCGGCGUCCUUCAGUAAAUUAUUUGUUUGACAAUGAGUUUACUGGACAAAUAAAGUGGUUCGUGAUUUUGGUAUAUUCUUGCCCUUUUGUUAGUUAAACUUAUUUAUUACUACUUGGGAUAUAUCGUAUAAUCAUGUGAGUACAUUCUAAAUCAUGUAAAUUUCCUUUAAUCUCUUAUUCCUUGUUUUUUUUUCUGAGCUAGCUUGUCAAUAAGGCAAAGAAUGGCAUUUUAUUGAUUCAAAAUGAAAAACACGGGGUGGUUAAUGUUAUUUUGUAAGUGAAGAACUGAAUAUGUAUGAAGGAUUUGUACAUCAGGAUCACUAAAGGAAUUAUGUUAGUAAGCUUAAGCACAGGAACGGAGCCAGCAAUCUUACUAAAGGGGGCCAAUGGAAGAUAUAAAAUGUUAAGCGGGGCCAAACAUAUAAAUUUAAAGCACUUUAAACUAGCAAUCUAAGGCUGUUUUCAGAAGAAGAAAAAAGGUUACCAUGGGGGGAGACAUGGCCCCAACUUGCCCCCCACUGGCUCCUUCCCUGCUUAAGCACUUGUUUCUUCAAAAUCUGCCUUUCUUAAAACUCAAAUGUCUUUCAUCACAAAUCUCUACUUUAUAGCAUCCCAAAAUUAUAACACAGUAUCUGGUUCAGAGUGUCUGAGACCUGGCAUCUUUGUUUCAUAUCCCAACAGUAUGUGUAACAGCUGAAGUAUUUCCUUGCUUUACUAAUUCUUACGUUUGGUUGAGUAAUGUAACGGAAUGUAUGUUGUCUUAAAACCAACUCUGAAAACUUCUGUUAAACACUUAUUUUGAUAUGUACGAUAAUAAUAUCAUGACAACAUUUGUUCCCAGUUUGCAGCCUGUGAGAGAAACACGUGAAAAACAAGUGCAGCUAUGGAAAGAGCUGAUACUUGAUUACUGUAGAAGUCAAAAGAUGUAUAUAAUCUCCCUGGAAGAAGAUUUUCCAUUGUUCUCCAAUCCAAAGAUUGAGAGUAAGUUGUAUUUAUCUGAACCUUGUGUUUUGACUACUACUCUUCUGCAGUUCAGCAAAAAUAUGUCUUACUGUGUGGAAAAUGUAUGUCAUAGUGAUCUGGUAUGAUGGUAAUGUGUUCCUAGGGCCUACCAUGGAGCCUUUUGAGCAUGGCGGACUAGUGUGUACAUGAAAAUUUUAUUUACUCGACUAGUUUAUUAUGCAUUUGGACAUUUCUAUUGACGUUGCACUGAACUUACAUGUUUUAUAUUAUUCAGGAUCUCUAAGCUAUGAAGCAAAGGAAGCAUUCCUUGCAGCUCUUGUUAGUGAAGGUUUAUUCUGCACAACAUGAAAUCUUUUGCUUAUUGUUUUAGCUGUGUGUAGUUUUGUUUUUCUAGAUGAGGGAUGCUUUUAUUACCCCUGGCCUGUGUUUAGUUUUGUGUUUUGACACUACUUAAAGCCAAGUUCAAACUGCAGGUCGCGCAGAGUGGAUUGACAAAGGUCACAAGAAGUGUCUCAUCCUUUGGCUGCGGAUUCAAGAUUGGGCUAACUACAUAUUAGACUUUGUAAGACUUUGUAUUAUUUUAAACAUGUUCCUUCCAAAGCUAUCAGUUUAUCAAUGAAUAGUGUCAGUGACUUAAUAUUUGUUUCUGUGUUAUGCUUGUAGGUUAAGGAAAAUGGGUUGGAAGUAACAACAAUUGAAGAUAUACGCUCUGGAAUUGAAACACAUGGGACCGGUAAGUAUACAAACUUGAUGGUGAUGAGAUUAGAUUUACCAUUUUCAAUAUUUUUGUAACGCUUAUUUUUCUUGCUUGAUGAAAAUAAUUUGCGGUAGAAACGGUAGUAUACAUAUAGGAUUUAGACUUAGCAGUUGGAUAAUAUUUUUAUGUUUACCGAACUUGUGAUGUGGAUUUGGCAUUAUUGUAGCCGCCACCAGCCUCAGGAGGAGCCAUCUAGCUAAGCCUAGUCUUAGUGAUAAGUUUUUUUUUCUGAUUCCCUGGUUGGUUAAUUUGGACAAGACUAUUGGAAUUAUGCAGUUACAGUUUUCCUUUUAGGGAUGACUGUUCUAUAAAGCUAGGGAUAAUCUGUGUUAUACGAAGAAUAAAUAAACCAGAGGUUAUCCUCCAAAAACCCUAUUCCUGCUUGUAUCACGCCACGAUGCAACCGAAGCUUAUGCCAUGACAUAAGUUGGCGGUGGUGCCUCGCCAGUAAUGCAUAGGCCAUACAAAGUAAUACAUAGCAUAGGCCAUGCCUGCCCCUUGCUCAUAAUAAAUAAAAGUUGUCUAAUGGUAUUAAUUGUGGCUAGUUUGAAUCCUCAUUUUAUCCUGUGGCAUGUUUUGCAGAACUUGCUGGAAUUGAUCGCGGUGUCCUGAUGUGAGCUUUGAGGCUGUUGGAACAAAAGGGAAAGGCGGUUAUCUUUAAGGGCACUUCAGCGGACGAUGAAGGCGUCAAAUUUUCUGUUUAAACUUUGUGCCAACUAACUGAUGGAUAAUAAUCUUGAUGGGUGUCCUGGAACAUGAUACAUCCCCUCUUAUCUGUACGUAUGUACGUACGUACACUGAUGACAUCCUUCUGUUCGGCAUCGUUCAAAUGUCAGUUAGUAUUUAUUUCUCGUCCAGGACUGUUGUAAUUAGCCAGCCUUUGAUUCAUCUGUUCAGCAGCAUAUAUACCUAUAAAAUCGCAUUCCUAUAUGUUCAGAACUAUGCAUUGUUUGAUAUAUUAGGGCUUGUUCCUAUUUGAGCAAAUAAGCGAAACUUAUCAAGAAAGCAUGCUUCAUAUGUGGAAUCUGGGAAUUUGUGUCAAUUUAUUGCACAUUGCAGUUCAAUUGAGGCCGAUUAUUGUGACCACCUCUUUUGAACCGAUUCUCCCCUCUCUAUCUAACACUGAACCUUAGUGCAGGUCUCAUUUCUUUCUUGCUUGAUUCAAGCAAUGAUACAUUGUUGUCUAGAACACUGGCUGUAUAAAAUCUGUUAAUGAGGCCAGGUGCAGCCCCUUUCUUAUUCUGCACCAAAAAAUUGAAAAGAAAAGAAAAAUAUUAAGUUGUUGCUUAUAGUUCUACUCCCUCCGUUCGUAAAUAUUUGUCUUUCUAGAGAUUUCAACAAGUCUUUCUAGAGAUUUCAACAAAUGACUACAUAUGAAGCAAAGUGAGUGAAUCCAUACUCUAAAAUAUGUCUACAUACAUUCGUAUGUUGUAGUCCAUUUGAAAUGUUUAGAAAGACAAAUAUUUGGGAACGGAGGGAGUAGAUAAGUUGUAUAUAUGUAGAAAAUAUCUCACCCAUGUAAUAUUUCAUCACCCUAUGUUUCUAUACUCGCGUGGACAUCUCAUUUCAACAUGAUGAUCCCUGAACUUGAGAAUCGCGUAUUGUAUUGAUGCCACUAUGUGAAUAAGUUUGUUGGCUGUGGAGUUUUGGCUUCUCUGUGUGCCCAUUAUGUGUGGGCUUUUGAAGAAAAAGAAUACAUCCGUUGAAAAUUAGUUCAUAUGUCUGUCUGUGUGCCAGAAAAUUAAUAUCAGGUGGCUAUUAUUUAAGCUUAGGUUAGCUCUAUAUGUUCCACCAAAAAUAAAUAUGUGCACUCGAAGGUUUCGUGGUGUAGUUGGUUAUCACGUCAGUCUAACACACUGAAGGUCUCCGGUUCGAACCCGGGCGAAGCCAUCCUUUUUCUUUUGUUUUUUCGCAUUUUUCGUUGUGCAUUUUCAAAAAUGUAAAAGAUUAAUGGCCCAUACAGGUCUCGAACCUGUGACCUUCGCGUUAUUAGCACGACGCUCUAACCAGCUGAGCUAAUAGGCCUCUUGGUGAUUUGCACGUUUUCUUCCCUCUAUAUAUGAUGUACGAUCACCAGAAAGGCUAUAUAUUAUAUAACCACAAGGGAAAACAGUUACUAAAGCCACGACAAGAAUUAUGGAACGGAGCCCAUCAAUCAUAUCUUUACUAUUACUAUCUCCGUUUUUAUUUACUCUGCAUAUUAUUUUGCCUAAAAUAAAACUUUAUAAAUUUUGAUCAAGCUUAUGAAAUACUUAUUAACAUAUGCAAUACCAAACCAAUACUAUUAGAUUCAACAUUGAUUAUAUUUUUUACAUCAUAUAUACUAUUUGUUAUUGUAAAUGUUAUUGAAUACGUAUUACCGCACUCCCAAUGCAUUGUCUCUUAAUGCGUCGUCCUUGGAAGUAAUCGUUUUCAGAUACAACCACUUCAAUGCAUUGUCUCUUCAUGUCGUAUCUAAAUAAUAUUGCAUCUUUGUUAAUUUAGGGUUGGGCAGUGGAUGAAAUGGUUACUUUCCUAUUUCUCGAGGAACUUUCGGUUGUUGAAAUUUUCAUGUGAAGAUAAAUAUAGUAGUGGGGAUGAACUUCUUAUGUAUAUAGGAUAGGAUGAUGAUGAUGAUGAUGAGUUAUUAUAUCAUUGGGUGAAAUAACUGUGGAUUAGUUUCAAGUGGAUGGAUCCUAAGUGACCAAGUCACUUGAAACUAAUCGGUUCUUUCACCUAGUGAUUUAAUAACUCAUUAUAAUGUAAAAAAAUCUCUAAAUUGCUACUGUAUGAAAAUUUGUAUAAAGGUGUAUGAAUACGACAUAAAAAAUAGAAUACGGAAUAAUAAUAGUAGCGCGGGCUGUGUGACGCGCUACUACUAAUUACCAGUAGCGCUUUUUGCAGGAAGCGCUACUAAUAAGUAGAUAUAGCAGUAGCGCGGGUAAACAAACUCUACUGCUAACCUUUAGCUGUAGCGCCGUAGCAGUAUCGCAGUCACCCGCGCUAUUGCUAGGCAAAAAACCCGGCUACUGCUAGGCUUUUUCCUAGUAGUAAUACAAUACAUGCCUUAUCACCCCUCCUGUCACAAAGCAAGGUCACGACAAGAUUGAACCUACUACCAAGCACCACUCCCACUAGAAGAUAAAUCAAUCUACUUGGCCAAAGAAGACGGAUAGAUCAGAGAGAAAUACAAGGCUACAAAAUUAUGCAAUCAAAAGAGAUCUCUAAGGACUCACAAUUUGAUCAUGAACCCACAAUUCAUCAGAUCCCAACAAACGCACCACAAAAGUUACAUUGAAUUGAUCUCAGAGAUCAUUGUAUUGAGGAUCAAACAAGAGAGAUAGAUAGAUAGAUAGAGAUAGAGAGAGAGAGAGAGAGAGAAGGCCAUCUAGCUACUGCUAUGGAUCUGUUAGGUGCUGCGGGAACUACUCACACAUCAUCAUGGAAGCAGCAAGGUUGAUGAAGAUUUCCUUUCCAAUGGUUUACCCCUCCCCCCCCCUCCCGAUCUGGUGGAGUACCAGAAAAUGCCUCCUGAUGGGAUUGCUUCGGAACAGAGGCUUGCAGCGGGAAAAUAAUUGUUUCGGGUCUCAUUUCGGGGGUUUCAGAAUAUACAGGAAUUUAUAGGCCAAGAAUUAUGGCAAACGGAGUCACGAGGAGCCCACAAGCCAGGGUGGCGCGCCCUAUCCCCCAGGGCACGCCGCUGCCUUGUGGCCACCUCGUGGGUCUUCUGGUCCUCUCCCGAAAUUUUCAGGGUCCCUUUUUGUCAACAAAAAAGUCAAACAUUUCGUCGUGUUUGGACUUUUGUAGGUAUGGACUUCCUGAAAAAAACAUGCAGAAAACAGGAACUGGCACUGCGCACUAAGGUUAGUCCAUAAAAAUAAUAUAAAAUGACAUAUAAAGCAUACAAAAGUGAUAAUGUAAUAGCAUGAAACAAUCAAAAAUUAUAACGUUGGAGACGUAUCAGCAUCCCUAAGCUUAAUUCAUGCUCGUCCUUGAGUAGGUAAAUAAUAAAAGUAGAAUUUUUGAUGUGAAAUGCUAUCCAACAUGUUAUUAAUCAUGUAAUCAUUUGCGGUAUGAAUAUUGCAAAGCCAGUGGUUUAAGGCAUUAGUCUAUUAGUUUGAUAUCAAAACGAUAAUAUGCAAGAAUGCUAGAAAACAAUCACUGCCUUUCAAAAUAGAAAAUGCUACCUAAACACUUAAUUGUGUAAGCAUGGCAUAGCUCGGUCUUCUUGACAUAAAGUAUCUAUCAUGAACACCCCGGCGCCAAACCAAGCUCUUUUUUACUUUUUUUUUUAAAUUUUACUGCUGAUCAUGAAGCAUUUCAGCUCGGAGCAGAUACUCCGCGUCCCUUAGUUAUACAAUAGUGCUCCUAGAUUAGAGCUAAACCAUGCUAAAACUACUGAUCAUCGAAUGAGAGGUUGAUGAAUGCUGCCUUGCGGAGCCCGGCGCCUCAUGGUCGUGGGUUGCCUUCGAAUCCACGGGUGUUCAAAACAUUGCAGUAGUGUUUUUGGCUCAUCAAUGAUGUUUUUUAUUGAGAUGUUUUGUACUUCUGAUGAACUUUUAUAUUAUAAAAGUUCAUCAGAAAUACAAAACAUCUCAACCAUAAUAAUAAAAAUUACCGAGAUUUCGAGUCCACCGAACAAGCACUAUUGCCGCCAAAAUGGGCCGCCGACGCACCACUGUCGCCACACCCCUACCGGAGCCGUCUUUGACUUUCUGGGUGAAAACUUGGAAAUCUUCGUGCACAUGCCCCUAAGGACCAGCGCCCUGGAGCCGCAGUGGUCUUCUUUAGACUUUUGCAUAGAUCUGAAGUAGCUGACACCAAAUCUCGCCACACGACGAGAAAUCCUAACCUCACCGCCCAAAGGAGAUGGCAUGAAUCUAUGCCGGAGCUCCAUCGACUAUGCCCAAAUGGAAGAACGGAGUUGCAUCGACUGUGUCCAAACUAACGAACUCAAUGAGGAUCAAAGCCCAGAAGACAAACUCAAAGAAGAAGCAUUUGUACCCGCGAGGACUAAAAAAACUCUAACCUAAACUACUAACCGGGGCAGAGGCGCGGGAUUCUCCUCCCCGUCACCGACCACCAGAGCCGCAUGCAGAGGGGAGGCGGGCCCACAGACUCUCCGGUGAAGUCUGGAGGGGAAAUUUUGCCCUAGCCGUGUUAGCGUCUUUAGAGUUUUUUCCCCUACGUUUUUUCUUGAGCUACUCUUUUAUGGUGCGCCUGAAUUUCUCUUUUCUCGUUUUUCGUACUAAAUUAAUGAAUUGACUUUCAGUGGUGCAACGUGCAUGCUCAGGCACAUUAAUGCCACCGGCCGAUCGUUUGUCAAAAAAUAAAAUAAAAGAAGAAUGCCACGGGCCGAUCUGCAAAAUGAAAACAAAAGUAGAUAAUUCGUCCAUCGUCCGUAUGAUCCGUUCCUGCAUGCUUGCAUAUCCAACCCGCAAGAAACUCAUCGUUAUCCAUCAGGAUCGAUCGAUCAGUUAGCUCUAACAACUAGCGAUUAUCUAUCUAACCCGCAGCUAUAAAUAUGCACCAUCCGCAUCCACUUCCUCCAUCCCAUUCACAUCGAUCUUUCUCCUCGCCCACGUAGUACAAUCUCAUCUUGACAACCAUGGUGCAGCGCACUUCCAACGCCGAGGUCAUGUCGAUGGACCUGUCGCCCAAGAAGCCCGCCAAGGCCUACGGCAGCGACGGCGGCGCCUACUACGACUGGUCGCCGGCCGACCUGCCCAUGCUCGGCGCGGCCUCCAUCGGCGCCGCCAAGCUGCAUCUCUUCGCCGGCGGGCUCGCGCUCCCCAGCUACUCCGACUCGGCCAAGAUCGCCUACGUGCUCCAGGGCGCCGGCGCCUGCGGCCUCGUCCUCCCCGAGGCGGCCAGCGAGAAGGUGAUCCCCGUCAAGGAGGGCGACACCCUGGCGCUCCCCUUCGGCGCCGUCACCUGGUGGCACAACGCCGAGGGCGCCUCCGCGGAGAUGGUCGUGCUCUUCCUCGGUGACACCUCCAAGGGCCACACUCCCGGCCGCUUCACCAACUUCCAGCUCACCGGCGCCGCCGGCAUUUUCACGGGCUUCUCCACCGAGUUCGUCGCGCGCGCCUGGGACCUCGACCAGGACGCCGCCGCCAAGAUCGUCUCCACCCAGCCUGGCUCCGGCGUCGUCAAGAUCGCCGCGGGGCACCGCAUGCCGGAGCCGCGCGUCGAGGACCGCCAGGGCGUCGUGCUCAACUGCCUCGAGGCGCCGCUGGACGUGGACAUCCCGGGCGGCGGCCGCGUGGUGGUGCUCAACACGGCCAACCUGCCGCCGGUGAAGGAUGUUGGGCUGGGCUCUGACCUGGUUAGGAUCGAUGGUAAGUCCAUGUGCUCGCCGGGAUUCUCCUGCGACUCGGCCUACCAGGUCACCUACAUAGUGCGCGGCGGCGGCCGCGUCCAGGUCGUCGGGAUCGAUGGCACCCGUGUGCUGGAGACCCGCGCCGAGGCGGGCUGCCUCUUCAUCGUGCCCAGGUUCUUCGUCGUCUCCAAGAUCGCCGACGACACCGGCAUGGAGUGGUUCUCCAUCAUCACCACGCCAAAGUACGUACUACGUAUUAUUUUAUUUUUAUUCUCGUUCGAUCUGCUGUAUAUUUUCUUGCUACAUCAAGCAUGUCAAGCACUACUGUAUAUCAGAUCUCAUAGCAUUAUUUUGUUCGGUAUAUUAUAUAUUUCAAUUUGGAGAAAUUCAAGUAUACGUGGCCCUAGUUUGUUGCACAAUUUUGUGGCAUCCUUUCCCCUUACUGAAAUUAAAGUUUCCUGCAACAUAUUCAAAUUUAUUCAAUAAUUGUGGAUUAAACAAUGCCACUGUAUCUUUUCUUACUGCAUUUUGGUAGCAAAAAUAUAGGGAACAUAUAGCUGUGUGUAUCAGAUCUGAUGCAUUAUUUUUGUUCGCUAUAUUCUGUUUCAGUAUUGCAACAAUUCAAGUAUAAACUUAUUUCUAGCUGCAACUACGGAUGUUUCUUACAGACUGGAUUCCUCCCGUAUGUUUAACAUUUUUGUAUAUACCCUUAUUAGCUGCACAAUAUUGUGGCAUGUUUUGCAUUUUCCCAAAAUGAAAGUUUCCGACAUAUUCAAGUUUAUUGCACUUAUAUAUAGUUAUAUCGAUUGAUUUGAUUAACUAAUGCUUGUGUUGUGUGCAACAACUGCAGCCCGAUCUUUAGCCACUUGGCUGGUAGGACGUCGGUGUGGAAGGCGAUAUCGCCGGAUGUGCUAGAGACGGCCUUCAACACCACGCCAGAGAUGGAAAAGAUGUUCCGCUCCAAGAGGCUUGACUCCGAGAUCUUCUUUGCUCCCAACUAGACCAUCCGCACAUCUGUCCAUCAUUGGCUUGGCAACACCUUAGGUUAUGUUUUCAUUAGGGUCGCCCAGGGUUAGUUAAAUUGAAGUUUCUCGCGUUUGAUGGAUUAUGUAAUAAUAAGCCUUUGAUGGAUUUGUCACGCUGGUUAGUUUUUAUGGAACUCUUUGAGAUCAGUUAAUGUUCAAUCAAUGCAAGUGGAAUAUCGAUAUAUUCUUGCAGUGGGUAAUUUGUCACUGUUGUGUGUGCGGUGCAUGCACCCCUGCAGGUUAGGCUUUAUCAAGCUCUUUUAGAUCAGUUAAUGUUCAAUCAAUGCAAGUGGUGUAUGGAUACAUUCCCGCAGUUGUAAUUUGUCAUUGUUGUGUGGGUGCACGCUCACUCCCAGCUAUCUAUUAACGAAUAAUUUGAUCAAUAGUUUUUUUUUCCACAAAAAAUGCAAGUUUGAACUUUCACACUUUCAAACAAACUUGAGCAUAGAGAAAUGGAAUGGAAUACGUGAUGUACUGGUGAGUGUGUGUGACUGUCCCGUGAUUCAAGUAUCUAUCUGAUUUCAAGUCCUGCUGAAAAAUUUCAAAUGGAAAGGGCUUUAAAGUCAGCCUAUGACAGCAUAUGGUGGGAUUUUCAUAAAUUUUGUUUGAGGAGUUGUAUCAACUUGAUUUAAGUUGAUGCACCAUUGCAUUAGUUUUAUGUCCAUGUCCAACCCCUAUAGAAUGCAAUUUCAAGCAUUCCGAAAAGCAUGGCUUGGUCAACUAAUUAAGGAAAAUAGUUACCCAUACAUCUACAAUUCUGCAUAUAGUUGUAUACUAAGAGAUAAUUCUGUAAUAAAUUUUUGUUUCAUACCAAAAUGCCAAAUAUAUCCCCAUUGCAUAAAUAAAUACCGAUAAGAUGUCUCUAAUAUACAAACAUUUUUUUUGUUGAAGCCAUACAAAUAAAACAACUGAUUGAAUUGCUAGCCCGUGUGGUUGCACAUGUUAGGUGGUUACACUAAUGUGCCGAGCUUAUAAGAUUGCAUAAAUUUGAGUACACAUUGGCAACAUGCAGAAUGGUCACAAGCAUAUUAAAUCUUUGGCUUAAACCCAAAUGUGUGAUUUGGACCUCAGUUGAGACGGUAAUACAAUGUGUGAUUCUCAAGUUCAGGGACCACCAUGGCACACGAGUGUAUAAACAUAGGGGACACUUGACUACAUUAUUUCCAAUAUAACUUAUAACCAUCUCAUGCAAACCUAGUAGUGUGAUGAAUAUUAUAUCGGUGAGAUUACAUUGUACCCUACAUGUCCACUCUACAUAUAUACAACUUAUCUUGAACUAGAAGUAACAACUCAAUUUUUUUUUUCAUAUUGGUGGCAGAUGAUGAUUUUCUUCUCUGAACAAGAAUAAAUUAAUUGAUGGAUGGCGACAAGGGUGACAUGGACUGAUAAUCUUGCGUGUAACAUAAAGAAGAAUCUACAAAUUGAUUGAUUCCUCGUGACUUAUAUAUAUGUUAGCCAAUGAUAGGCGAGAGAGGAAUCGACUUCAUGAAAACCAAAUUAAGAUUUUCUAUGUUUGCGUGAUAGUCAUACUAAUAACACAAAAAGAAAGCUUCUCUUCUGUACGAAUACUUUUUAGCACAGAUAGUGCGGUUCAAUCAAGGUUCAAGAGAGCUCCUCACAAGAAUCUGACUCAAUUGAACAAGAAAUUGACAUGGAUAUCCAGAAUACACUCCUUUCUUCCACAUAUUAAGCGUGCCCGUUUCCUUGAUUUUUUUCCCACAUAACAAGCUCAAAUAUAUCAAACAAUGCUUCUUGGUUCUCAAUGUAUCUGAAAUUUGAUUAAAAUUAGUUUCGCCUCCUUAUGAGGCACACAACAUGCGGCGAUUUUAUUAUAGGUAAGUAUGGUACUCAAGAAAUGAAUCAAAUGCUAAUUACAACAGUCUGGGACAUCAAAUAAAUACUGACGUUUGAACAAUGCUGACCAGAAGGAUGUCAUCAGUGUACGUACAUACGGGUAAGACGAGAUGUAUUAUGUUCAAUGACAUCCAUCAAGAUUAUUAUUCAUCUAUUAGUUGGAACAAAGUUUAAGCAGAAAAUUUGACGCCUUUGUCAUUCACCGAAGUACCCUUAAAGAUAAUUGUCUUUCCCUUCUGUUCCAACAGCCUCAAAACACGCAUCAGGACACCAUGAUCAAUUGUCGUGAGUUCUGCAACAAAAGCCACAACAUAAAAUGAGGAUCCUAAGUAGCCACAGUUAAUAUCAUAAGACCACCAUCAAAAAAAUGAUAUACCAUAAGACAACUUUUAUUUAUUAUGAGCAAGGGGCAUGCAUGGUCUAUGCUAUGUAUUACUUUUUUUUCCUUUUUUGUGAAUUAUGUAUGGCCUGUGUAUGUAUUACUGAUGAAGUACCACCACGAACUUAUGUCAGGGCAUAAGCUUCGCUUGCAUCGUGUGUUGAUACAUGCCGGAAUGUUUUCCGAGGAUUACCUCUAGUUUAUCCAUUCACUAGUAGAAAAAGGGGCUUUCGUUCGGGCCUGGCCAGCCCAUUAGUCCCGGUUCCGCCACGAACCGGGACCAAUGGAGGCAUUUGUCCCGGUUCGAGAGCCCAGGGGGGCGGCCGGGGCCUCGUGGGCAUUGGUCCCGGUUCGUCUGGGCCCAUUUGUCCCGGUUCUUGGCACGAACCGGGACCAAUGGGCCUCGCUCCUGGCCCGCAACCAUUGGUCCCGGUUCGUGGCAGGAACCGGGACAGAAGGAAGGCCUUUAGUAUCGGUUCCAUCCACGAACCGGGACAAAUGAGUUGCCUAUAUAUACCCCAUCGCCGGCGAGCAGAGCACUCCACAGUGCUCUGUUUUUUGCUGGCCAGCGAGGGGGAGGGCAUUGGGUGCUCUAGCUCACCUCCUAUGCACAUGAGGUGUUCGAUGAAAUGCCCGAGCCACACUAGUUAAGCUUUCUCCUCUCGAAGCUCGACCUCCGAGCUUCAUUUUUCCCGAGAUUUGUCUAGCUUUAUAUUAGCGGUCCGUCACGCCCCGUCCCCGUCUUCACCGCCGUCGAUCGCCCGCGCCGAUCUCGUUGCCGGGACCACCGUGGUGAGCCUCUUGUUCUUAUCUUCCUUCUGAAAAAAAAUUCUUACUUUACAUAGAUACUUGUCUAAUUUUCUUACUUUUGACACACAUAAUUAUAUAUAAUGCACGCAGAUGAACCGGCAAUGGAUGUACGGUGACAGACACACCUCCGAGUACAUUAAGGGCGUGCAUAAUUUUCUCGAAGUGGCUGAGGCAAACAAGCAGAAUGGUUUUAUGUGCUGUCCAUGCCCUAGCUAUGGGAAUACGAGGUCUUACUCUGACUCGAAAACUCUUCACACCCACCUGCUUUAUAAGGGUUUCAUGCCACACUAUAAUGUUUGGACCAAGCACGGAGAAAUAGGGGUUAUGAUGGAAGACAUCGAAGAAGAAGAGGACGAUGACAACUAUGUGCCCCUGAAUACGGUGAUGCUGCAACGGUGGAAGCUGUUGAAGAUCAAGAGGAACCAGACGAUGUGCCCGAUGAUGAUCUCCGCCGGGUCAUUGUUGAUGCAAGGGAAAAGUGCGAAAGUGAAAAGGAGAAGCUGAAGUUCGAUCGCAUGUUAGAGGAUCACAAAAAAGGGUUAUACCCCAAUUGCGAAGAUGGCAACACAAAGCUCGGUACCGUACUGGAAUUGCUGCAGUGGAAGGCAAAGAAUGUUGUGCCUGACAAAGGAUUUGAGAAGCUACUAAAAAUAUUGAAGAAGAAGCUUUCAAAGGAUAACGAAUUGCCCGACAGUACGUACGCAGCAAAGAAGGUCGUAUGCCCUCUAGGAUUGGAGGUGGAGAAGAUACAUGCAUGCCCUAAUGACUGCAUCCUCUACCGCGGUGCGUACAAGGAUUUGAACGCAUGCCCGGUAUGCGGUGCAUUGCGGUAUAAGAUCAGAUGAGAUGACCCUGGUGAUGUUGAGGGCGAGCCCCGCAGGAAGAGGGUUCCUGCGAAGGUGAUGUGGUAUGCUCCUAUAAUACCACGGCUGAAACGACUGUUCAGAAACAAAGAGCAUGCCAAGUUGAUGCGAUGGCACAGUGAGGACCAUAAGAAAGACGGGAAGUUGAGAGCACCUGCUGACGGGUCGCAGUGGAGAAAAAUCGAGAGAAAGUAUUGGGCUCAGUUUGCACGUGACCCAAGGAACGUAUGGUUUGCUUUAAGCGCGGAUGGCAUUAAUCCUUUUGGGGAGCAGAGCAGCAAUCACAACACCUGGCCCGUGACUCUAUGUAUGUAUAACCUUCCUCCUUGGAUGUGCAUGAAGCGGAAGUUCAUUAUGAUGCCAAUUCUCAUCCAAGGCCCUAAGCAACCCCGCAACGACAUUGAUGUGUACCUAAGGCCAUUAGUUGAAGAACUUUCACAGUUGUGGAAUGGCAACGGUGUACGUGCGUGGGAUGAGCACAAAUAGGAGGAAUUUAACCUGCAUGCGUUGCUGUUUGAAACCAUCAACGAUUGGCCCACUCUCAGUAACCUUUCAGGACAGACAAACAAGGAAUACCACGCAUGCACGCACUGUUUAGCUGACACCGAAAGUAUAUACCUGGACAGAUGCAGGAAGAAUGUGUACCUGGGCCAUCGUCGAUUUCUCCCGACCAACCAUCAAUGUCGAAAGAAAGGCAAGCAUUUCAAAGGCGAGGCAGAUCACUGGAAGAAGCCCGCCAUGCAUACCGGUGAUCACGUACUUGCUAUGGUCUCUGAUUUACACGUAAUCUUUGGAAAGGGUCCCGGCGGACUAGCUGUUCCGAAUGACGCUGAGGGACGCGCACCCAUGUGGAAGAAGAAAUCUAUAUUUUGGGACCUACCCUACUGGAAAGAGCUAGAGGUACUCUCUUUAAUCGACGUGAUGCACGUGAAGAAGAACCUUUGCGUCAACCUGUUAGGCUUCUUGGGUGUGUAUGGGAAGACAAAAGAUACACCUGAGGCAUAGGAGGACCUGCAACGUUUGCACGAAAAAGACGGCAUGCCUCCAAAGCAGUAUGAAGGUCCUGCCAGCUACGCUCUUACCAAAGAAGAGAAGGAAAUCUUUUUUGAAUGCCUGCUCAGUAUGAAGGUCCCGACUGGCUUCUCUUCGAAUAUAAAGGGAAUAAUAAAUAUUCCAGAGAAAAAGUUCCAGAACCUAAAGUCUCAUGACUGCCACGUGAUUAUGACGCAACUGCUUCCGGUUGCAUUGAGGGGGCUUCUACCGGAAAACGUCCGAUUAGCCAUUGUGAAGCUAUGUGCAUUCCUCAAUGCAAUCUCUCAGAAGGUGAUCGAUCCAGAAAUCAUACCAAGGCUAAGGAGUGAUGUGGUGCAAUGUCUUGUCAGUUUCGAGCCGGUGUUCCCACCAUCCUUCUUCAAUAUCAUGACGCACGUCCUAGUUCAUCUAGUCGACGAGAUUGUCACUCUGGGCCCCGUAUUUCUACACAAUAUGUUCCCCUUUGAGAGGUUCAUGGGAGUCCUAAAGAAAUAUGUCCGUAACCGCGCUAGGCCAGAAGGAAGCAUCUCCAUGGGCCAUCAAACAGAGGAUGUCAUUGGGUUUUGUGUUGACUUCAUUCCUGGCCUUAAGAAGAUAGGUCUCCCUAAAUCGCGGUAUGAGGGGAGACUGAGUGGAAAAGGCACGCUUGGAGGGGAGUCAAUAAUAUGCAGGGACGGAUAUUCUUGGUCUCAAGCACACUACACAGUUCUACAGAACUCUACCUUGGUGACCCCGAAUGUCGAUGAACACAAGAACAGUCUGCGCUCCAAACACCCGGAGCAGUGCGACGACUGGAUUACAUGUGAACACAUCAGGACUUUCAGCAGUUGGUUGGAAACACGUCUCAGAGGUGACAACACUGUUUGUGAUGAGCUGUACUCGUUGUCCAGGGGACCAUCUUCGACUGUAUUGACAUACAAAGGAUACGAGAUAAAUGAGAAUACAUUUUACACGAUCGCCCAAGAUCAAAAGAGCACCAACCAAAACAGCGGUGUCUUCUUUGAUGUAGCAACCGAGAGGGGAAAGGACACAUAUUAUGGUUACAUAGUGGACAUAUGGGAACUUGACUACGGACAUGAUUUUAAGGCCCCUUUGUUUAAGUGCAAAUGGGUCAAUCUGUCAGGAGGCGGGGUACAGGUAGACCCACAGUACGGAAUGACAACAGUGGAUCUGAACAAUCUUGGGUACACUGACGAACCGUUCGUCCUAGCCAAUGAUGUGGCACAGGUUAUCUAUGUGAAGGACAUGUCUACCAAACCGAGAAAAAGAAAAGAUAAGGAAGCGAAGACAUCAUACGAUGAGCCAAAGCGCCACAUAGUUCUUUCAGGAAAAAGGGACAUCGUGGGAGUGGAGGGCAAGUCAGACAUGUCCGAAGAUUAUGAAAAGUAUCAUGAAAUUCCUCCCUUCAAAGUCAAGGCUGACCCCAGCAUCCUGAUAAAUGAUGAAGAUUAUCCAUUGUUACGGCGCAAUAAGGAAAGGACACAAGCGAAGAAAAACUGAAGACGUUCUCUCCACAACUAUUAUGAUGAUACCAUGCCAACUUUCAACCUUUUCAUAGUUCAUUCGAAAUCCCUUUGUAACAGACGAGUUUCCGUAUGAAAUCCUGAUACUUCGAAAGAGAUUGUCCGUUUUGUACACGAAGUGCAUCCAGUUUUUGCCGUAACCCUCUCAACUUUCUUGCACAUGCUAUGUGGAUGAAAUGAUGAUACCACGCCAACUUUCAACCUUUUCAUAGCUCAUUUGAAAUGCUUUUCAAUUUUAGGGUCUUAUAGCUCAAAAUAAUGAGUAAAUGCAUGAAAAAUAACAAAUGAAGUCAGAAAGGGUUGAAAAUUGAUGAUGUGGCUUUGAAUGGUGCAUUUUGAACACACAAAAAGUGAGGAGUUCAAAUAAGUUUAAAAAAUGAAAUCCCUUUGUAACAGACGAGUUUCCGUAUGAAAUCCUGAUACUUCGAAAGAGAUUGUCCGUUUUGUACACGAAGUGCAUCCAGUUUUUGCCGUAACCCUCUCAACUUUCUUGCACAUGCUAUGUGGAUGAAAUGAUAAUACCAUGCCAACUUUCAACCUUUUCAGAGUUCAUUUAAAAUGCUUUUCAUUUAAAAUAGCUCAAAAUAAAAUAAAUAAGUAAUUAGAAACAAAAUAAUAUAAACUUUAAUAAAAUAUAUAAGUAGAAACAAAAUAAAAUAAACUUUAAUAACAUUUAUGAAACUAAAAUUAACAAAGUAUUUAUAAAGAAAGCAAAAAAACAGUCAAAAAAUAAAAAAUAUGCUACCUACUGGGCCACCACGGCCUGAAUACGACUAGAAACCCAUCGAUGGGCCAGGAUUCAGGCCCGUAGAAGGCCCAGUAGGCCCAUCAGGCAUAGCAGUGACAAUUAGGCACGUAACCUGCAAUGGAGAGGAGCUCGAGAGGGGUGCGGCAGUGGGGCUUAUAAACCACUGCGCGCCCCUCUCAACUAGCGAGGUGGGACUAAACUUUCGNNNNNNNNNNNNNNNNNNNNNNNNNNNNNNNNNNNNNNNNNNNNNNNNNNNNNNNNNNNNNNNNNNNNNNNNNNNNNNNNNNNNNNNNNNNNNNNNNNNNNNNNNNNNNNNNNNNNNNNNNNNNNNNNNNNNNNNNNNNNNNNNNNNNNNNNNNNNNNNNNNNNNNNNNNNNNNNNNNNNNNNNNNNNNNNNNNNNNNNNNNNNNNNNNNNNNNNNNNNNNNNNNNNNNNNNNNNNNNNNNNNNNNNNNNNNNNNNNNNNNNNNNNNNNNNNNNNNNNNNNNNNNNNNNNNNNNNNNNNNNNNNNNNNNNNNNNNNNNNNNNNNNNNNNNNNNNNNNNNNNNNNNNNNNNNNNNNNNNNNNNNNNNNNNNNNNNNNNNNNNNNNNNNNNNNNNNNNNNNNNNNNNNNNNNNNNNNNNNNNNNNNNNNNNNNNNNNNNNNNNNNNNNNNNNNNNNNNNNNNNNNNNNNNNNNNNNNNNNNNNNNNNNNNNNNNNNNNNNNNNNNNNNNNNNNNNNNNNNNNNNNNNNNNNNNNNNNNNNNNNNNNNNNNNNNNNNNNNNNNNNNNNNNNNNNNNNNNNNNNNNNNNNNNNNNNNNNNNNNNNNNNNNNNNNNNNNNNNNNNNNNNNNNNNNNNNNNNNUAUUAUUGUUGAAUAUGCAAAUGUUUGUGUGUUCAUAUAUAUGCAAAGAAUAUGUCAAUUUUUUUCAUAGAAUUUUUAUGAUUUUUUCUAUUGUCAUUUUGUUCAUAGUUUUUUUUUGUUCAUAGAAUUUUUAUGAUUUUUUUCUGUUGCAAUUUUGUUCAUAGAAUAAGAAGAGAAAGUGUUUAAUAGAAUUAGUUAGAAAAAUAAUAGAACUAGUUAAACUAUUUUAUUUUUAGUAAGUACUACUUUAUUCUAUUUAUAGUAAGUGUGCUUAGUAGUUGAACUAGUUGAUUUAAUAAAACUAGUUUAUUUUACUAUAGAAGUAGUUUAUUUUUAGCAAGAAAAUUAAUAGAACUAGUUUAUUUUUUUUGUUAAAGCAAUUAUUCCUGCAUCGACGUCGACGUUGCCAAUCCCGCAUCCUCAUCGUCGACUCGGCGGAGGAGGCCGGCUUGAUCAGAGGGGCCAUGUCCGGGACUGGGCUCCGCCGGGCUGGUUUUGGGAGGUGCUACCUUCCGGGGGGCGUAGGUUGGUGAGGAGCCAGCCCGUCGUUGACCCGAUCCUUGUUUGGUGGCGGUCGCGUGGGCCAGUGACGGUGCCGAGGCUUCCGGACACCGCGGAGGCGGUACGUCACCGUGUCAGCGAGGAGGACGAGCACGUCCGUUGCUACAUGGUUGCGUUGGAGGGCAGGUUCGACAAUACCUGGCAGGUUCUUCAGGGAUCUCACUGGAGCUAUGAUCCUGUGAUGGUUCCUUCUCUUUGGGUGUCCACCGCCCGCGCCGAUACCCGUCGGGCGCUACGGUUCUAGCUGUACUAGCGAUGCUAUAUGUAUGAUAGUAUUCGAGGUGUAUUAGUGAUAAUAUUCGACGAUAUACGGACGCAUGGAGAUGAUGUAGUUUUGCUUAUAAUUGAAUGCAUCCUAAUUUGAAUACUACUUUAUUUUGUGAUUUGAUUUUGCUUAUUGAAUGCUCAAAUUGGAAAACUACUCCUACUUUGAAUGCUAAAAUUGGAGAGCACUAUGCAAGGCGUAUGCAUAUGAUUAGUUGAUAGCUUAUAGGGUUUUUAUUUUGGCAGAAAUCUAGGAGCCCCCCUCCAUCAUCCCCGCCGUCGUCCCCGUCACCGACCCCCUCCGACCUUGAGGUGAGACCAGCCACGAACCGGUUUUAGAAAGAUAAUUAAACGAUAUUUCGGGUUGACUUUAAGUCUGUUGAGUCUCCACCAUAUAUAAGAGGACGAAGAAUCCCGACUGUUGUCGUGGGGGUAGCUUCUCCUUCGUUCCCGUGUGCUAGACAAUUUGGUGUAAUGCACUCGGGAACGAAAGGAGGAGCUACCAUCACCGACGGUCGCAAAUGUCAGAGAGGAAUCAGUGAGGGAGAGUUCCACCAUAUAUAUAUGAGAGGACGAAGAAUCCGGACUAUUGUCAUGGGGUCACUUCUCCUUCAUUCCCGUGUGCUAGACAUUUUGGUGUAAUGCACUCGGGGAUGAAAGGAGGAGCGACCAUCACCAACAGUCGAAUGUAUACACCACAUGAGCUGAGAGUUUUCAAGAAAAGACUCGACAGACCGAUAGUCAACCCGUAAUGAAUUAUAAUGAUCUAACUUAGGUUUUUUAGUACAUAUAUUUAAUUGUAGACGUUUAAUAUUUGAAUUAUGAACAUAGGAAAUGUCGUACUCGGACGACGAAAGUCUCCUGGGGGAGUGCGACUGGUGCCACGACGACCGAGGUCAGUGCGACAGGUUCAUUGAGCUGGACGAAGAUCGACGCUUCAGCAUUAAGCUCGAGGAGACCUUCGAUGUUGAAACGGUACGCAACAACGACAAGUGUUUUUUUUCGUAAUUAAGCACGACUUCAACUAUAUAUUUCAGUGCGUACUUAUCAUCUUUUACAAUUCGACUCGCUUAUCCCAUGCUAUGCAAGACGCUAUGUCUUGGAGAGGAUGGGUUUUGAAGACCAUGAAAGUAUGGAAACAAAGAAAAUUCACCUAAGGACCCAUCAUGGUAUGGAUUUCGAAGUAAAACUGUACAAUUCUGAGAGCGUAACCCAUUUUGGUUGCAAAAAUUGGGAAGCACUUGGCAAGAUGUAUGGUUUUCAUGAGGAUAUGCUUGUCACCAUGGAUCUUGGUGAUCCUGAAAUCGAGCAAAACAAUCUGGACAUUUGGGUCCUUGUUGAUACGCCUCCAAUUCUACCGCUAUGUGAGUUUCUCAAACAUAGUUAUUAACUAAUUUAUAUUGUUUAUUUCAAAAUGUUGACAACUUAUUUCCAUUGACAACUUAUUUCCAUUGACAACUUAUUUUCAUUCUUCAAAGAAUGUGCGAAAGAUGGUAGACAAAACCCACUAUGAUGACUGCGAAUUAACUUAUCAGGAGAAAAAUCAUCUGAUCACAUUUUGUACUGAUCUUGAGAAUUACAAUAUCUACAAUCAAACUCCUCAACAUUAUGGUCAAUACGUGCCACUAGUGCAUGUGUUGAACAACAGUAACUUCCAUGGAGAUACCCUGGUAAGAUUUUUUACUAUUACGACAUCCUUGCAUCUUUUGCAUACUUCUCAAACUAGUACAUCAUUGCUAACUACGAAGUUAUUACUAUGUUUUUCAACAGAUAAUCCCGAACGAUUGUGUGCCUCAUCUGAUGUAUCAGCAUGGUGGUCGCCUUGAUGUUUUGAACAUACUGCCAGGUCAUCCUACGAAUCUCAACUGUCCAUACCGGAUUUCUAAAAGAAGUGGAGACAUGACAAUCAAAGAAUGGAAAAAAAUGUAUGGACGGUCGUAAGGAGGUUCUUGGAAGCAAAAGGAAGCGAAGCGCAAGAAUUGGAGACAGGAUGAUCUCCAUUCUCCAUAAUGGAGAGUCAGGGUCUAUAUUGUUUUAUGCUAUUUUACCUUAAAGAGGGUAUUUAGGUCCUACCUAAUACUGAUGAUCAUGUGCCUAGAACAAUUAAGUAGGGUUGGUUCGAUGACUAUGAGGAUGAUGAGCGUAUGACUUGUUAUUAAUAACGAGUAGAAGUUGUAUGAUGAUGAUUAGUAGGACUUAUUAUUACGAUGAUGCAUGAUGCGGGCAUGAAGAGUUAUUAUAUAUCAGUGGGUGAAAUGAACAUGGAUUGGAUUGAAGUGAAGGCAACAAGCAUGUGGUGCAUGUCGAAAGUAGUACUAAUCCAACUUGAUCAAGUUAGGAUUAAUAUUACUUUCGACAUGCACCACAUGCUUGUUGCCUUCACUUCAAUCCAAUCCAUGUUUAGGCAUAGCAGUAGCGUUGGUAAACCAAGCAUGGAAAUAAGAGAGGACACUUCUCUCUGUUAGCUAGCUUACACACCCUAAAUUACCCCCUAAACCACCCCCUUUCAUAAAAAAACAAAAACCUCAGCUCUUGCCAGCUGCUGACGCGUGGAUGCCUAUUGGUCCUGGUUUGUGCCACCAACCGGGACCAAAGGGCCUCCUGCCUGGGCUCGCCGCACGGGCCACGUGGAGGCCCAUCUGUCCUGGUUCAUGUAAGAACCGGGACUAAAGGUCCAGGGCAUUAGUAACGACACUUUAGUCCCGGUUCAACAACCGGGACAAAAGGCCCUUAAGAACCGGGACAAAUGGCCCUUUUUCUACUAGUGAUUCUUCGUACAACAUAGAUUAGCCCUAGCUUUAUAUAAUAUUCAUACCCAAAUGGAAAACUCUAACUGGAAAAUUCCAAUAGAUUCUUAUCCAAGCUAACUGUCACUGAGCCUAGGCUUAGCUAGAUAGUUCUUCCUGAGGCUUGUGGCGGCUAAAAAUAAUUCCAAACCCACAUGACAAGUUGGGUUAAAAUGAAAAUUUUUAUCCAAGAUGAGUCUAAAUCCUACAUGUAUAUUACCGUUUCUACCUCAAAUUGCUUUCAAGCAAGAAAAUAAGAUUUUUAUUACAAAAAUAUUGAAAAUGGUAAAUCUAAUCUCAUCUCCAUCAAGUUUGGUAUACUUACCAGUGCUAUGUUUCAGUUCCAUGAGCGCCAAGCCAUCAUUGAAGUGCCAAAAAAACACCACUUUAGUGUUUUUAGCACCCGUAGAUUCGAAGGGCAACCCAAGACCAUGAGGUGUUUGGCUCUGGCAAGGCGGCAUUGAUCAACCUCUUGUUCGACGAUGAGUAGUUUUAGGACGGUCUAGCUCUAAUCUAGGAUCAGUAUUAUAUAAUUAAGGGACGUGGAGUAUCUGGUCCGAGCUAAAAUGCUCCAUGAUGAGCAGUAAAAUAAAAAAGUAAAAAGACAAAAGAAUAUGAUUUUUUUAAUGGUAAACUUUAACAAAUGUUUUGUGUACAUCCGAGAAGUCGUGGCAAAAAAAGAUGCUGCAAAAAUGCUAUUCUUAAAGCACAUAAUUUUGGAGUGUUCAACUUUUCAUGACUUCCUCUAAUGUCAUUUCGUGCUGAAAUUUUUCAAGCACAUAAUUUUUUUUAUAAAGUUUGCCAUAAAAACAUUUCAAAGUUUUUGAACUUGUAUUCUUUUUUUAUUUUACUGUUCAUCCAAAUCUCAUUUGAUCUCGGGAGAAGAAUAGGAGUUCCGAUAAUUAGGUACUUUUAGUUUUAAUGAAUGGAAGUAUUGUAUACUUAAGCAGUAAGUUACAUAAAUCUAGUUUCAAUUUGUGUUUGAAUGAGUAUUUGCGCAAAAUUUAGCAUCUGAUGAGUGAAGAAUUUUGGGGAAGAGAUAGGCGCAAUUUUUUAUGACUUGAGGACUUAAGUUUUACGGGGUCAUUUGAGGGUUUAAAGGAUUGGGGAAGAGCUAAAGAUGCUCUUAGCUAGUAAUUAGCCCCCGCUAGUAGGGAGGUUGUUCGCAGGGGAUCUUGAUCUUGUAGAAGUAGCUAAUAGUGGAUAUGUUGUUUUUCUUCGGAUUACUAAGGGGGGCUCGAAAUUGCACUGCUUUGUUCAGCAGAAACAUACAUUCAAUCAUUUUAUAAGUUUCGGCUGACGUGUCAUGUCAUGGGGUAUGUGAUAGAUAUCAAGUAACAUCCUCGGAGAGAGGUGAUAUACAAGAUCAGUACGUAAGUUGGUAAGGAUUUCUUUUUUGGAUCAUCUCCCCUGGUGGUAUCUCGCUGGAUAAAUCCGAGUGGUGCUUGUUGGUGGAUGCCUUGCCUGCCAUCUUGGCUCACAUAUGGUGUAUGUUGCGAUAAUGGAGGAGACGAGGAUUCUCUAUACAUGCCCACAUUCGCGGGGCCUCAUCAUGUGCCAUGUUUUACUCUAAGUGUUGAUCACGUGCCCCUCUCUAUUUUUACCUUUGAUCAUAUACUCUCAUUUUUAGCGAAAAGGAUCCAAAUCUAUUAUCAAAGUUCAUCAGAAGUACAAAGCACCUCAAACAUGAUAAAAUUUACAUCGAGAUUUUAAGACCACCGAAUGACCAUUACCGCCGCCAGAACGAGCCAUCGACGCGCCGCUAUCGCCGCUCCCCUAACAGAGCCGGCUUGAACUUGUCGAUGACAGCUGGGAAGUCUUCGUGCACAUGCCCCUAAGGACCAGUGUCUUUGAGCCGUAGUCAUCCCUGUUGAAUCAUGAAUAGAUCAGAAGCACUUGACACCAAUUCUCGGUACGUGACGAGAAACCUUAAUCUCAUAGCCCCAAGGGUACUGCGGGAACCUGCGCCGGAGCUCCGUCGACUACGUCUAGACGGGCGAAAUCAAGGAGGAUCAGAGCCUGAAUAACAAUCUCGAAGAAGAACCGACGUCAUCCGCCCGAGCACCUCACCUGCAAGGACUGAAAAACCCUAGCCUAAACUACUAACCAGAGCAGAGACAUCGAGAUUGCUCUCCUCUCCACCAGCUGCCAGAGAGGCAGGCAGAGGGGAUGUUUUUCCACGUGCUCACCGGCGAAGUCUGGAGGGCAGAGUUUGCCCUAGUCGCCAAGGAAUAGAGGAGGAAAAACUAAAGACGUUCUUUCUUUGCUAUGAUCAUAUGCUCUUGUUUAAUUUACCAUCUUAAUCAUUUUCCCUUUUUAUUUAAUUUCAAGUAUUUUCAUGUUGUUGGUUCGAUAAUGAUCAGUAUUUCGAUCUAGUUUGUUGGAGAUGAUAACUGAUUAACCGGAAUAUUAUCUAGAUCAUGAGUGCUCAUCCCAUUUUCUUCGAGCAUUAGCAAACUCAUUAAUCAUCAUAUAUAGUCGAUUGGAUAGGAUUAAGGGUUCGGGAAUGCAUGUAAGUUCUACCCAAUGCACACACGCAUGCAUGUUCGAGUUGAGAAGUUUGGGGCUGAGGAGAGCUACCUAACAGUCCCUAAGUAGAUGCUCUCCUUUGAGAACCACCAUUCAUCUCAUAUUCACCCCACCCCGUCAUUUAUUCUUGAUUUCUUUGUGGACUCCUUUUCCCUAUUGAAGGAGCACAUCUCCCCUUCAUCCUACUAUUUCAAGCGGAAUUAAUUAAAUGCACGAGGACAUGAAAGUGUAUGUUAUCACCCCAAAAAAUUAGGGAUGGUGAUGGGUAGGUACAACCCUUUUCUGCCCAAACCCCUAUCCCCACACAAUUUUUUAUACCCACCCACUUCAAUACGCAUGCGUAUAAAUUGAAACCCAUACCCAUACCGGCCGGGUAUCCCAUGCCCAAUGGGUAUCCAGUGGGUACAAUAUAUGGCAUUUGCAUUUCUUUCAAAAAAAAAUAGAGAAAUGAGUCUCAAAUUCAACUGAUCAUUUGAGACCAGUCUAGCACCAACGCUGCCUCCUCGAACAGGUGGCCUCUUGGAUGGUAAGGGAGUACGAGCAGCGAUUGGCGGAAUCCCUAUGCAGUUGGAGGUAGCAGUGGGAGCUGGGGAUCGCUGGAUCAAGAGUUGGACAAGAGUGUGGCCGCAAUGAGUCCAGAUUUCAUCAUUUUGGGGAGUCACAUAGGACGUUGGAGGAGUGGCAAGCUGGUGGUUGCAUACCUAUGAGCUAUGGCUUGUUUAGGUAAUAAGGGAUUUAGGGUUAGGCCCUAUGAUUUGUAUGUUCACCCCACAUGUCAUAGGAGUUACUUUCAUUUAUUUACCUUUUCUUGGUAUCCACUGGAUUACCCAUGGGCACAAUUUCAUACUCAUGCCCUACCCAUAUAUUUUGCGGGUAUGGGUGCCCAUUACCCAUGGAUACAAAAUCUUGCAGAGUCUUGCCCAUGCCUGGUGUUUUCGGGUAGGAUACCCGCGGGUACCCAUACCCAUGGGCAAAACUGCCAUCCCUACAAAAACUCUAUAAGCUGGGAAAAAAAUCUCCGACCAAAAGCCACCAUGGAAAAUCUUAUCCAACAAUUGGAUAUCAAAGAACAGUUUGACCACACACGAAAUCAUUCAAUAGCUACGAGCAAGUACGAUCUCUACAACAGAAAAAGUCAUUAAGGAUGUAAAUGAAGGCAUUUUAACAUCGAAGUAUCUUCAAAAAGGAUACAUGAGAAAAUAUCUCUGAAGUGAAAUAUUGUUUGACGACGUCAAAAGAUAUGACACAAGAAAAUAAAAAAGAUGAGAAAUUAUUCCCGGCUGAGAGAGCGAGUCACCAAACAUGACAGCCAUGAAAUAUGUGAAAGUUGCUCGAGGAGAUCAGAUUCUCUCAGAACAAAAUCAUAUCCCGGAACAACAUAAAGUAUGUCCUAAUACCCAAGAAAUAUGUAAGAGAACAUAAAAUAUGUGAUAAUAUCACGCAAAUUACAUGUGCGUGUGUGUGUGUGUGUGUGUGUGUGUGUGUGUGUGUGGUAUGGCACGAACGAGUUUACGAUAUUGUCAGAACAAUGUAUGCAACUUAAAAAGUUCAUAUAACCAACAUCUUAUUUUAAAAGAUGGCUUGGACUUGAUGUUGUGUGCAUGCAUCCCAUGUCAGUAAAGGCGGUGACUCUGCAAUUUGCACAUAAUAUGUUUUCUGUUGAACAAUUGUUGAUGUUUGGUUUCAUAAAGAAGCUUUGUGUGACUGUGAUGAAUAUAAAAAGUUGUAUGACAUUGCAGACCCACAGUUGAACAGGUUAACAAGUCCUUUCGCAAAAACAAAAAAAGAACAGGUUAACAAGUCUGUGUCGUGUUGACCUAUGAUAUUAUGUUUAUUUGCUUACUGAAGACUAGUGUUCUUUGUAUAAUAGCUGGAUUGUUUAUAGCAAUAACAAGAAUUGGAUUGUUUCUGAGGUUCGUAGCAGAGCUAAGAUGUAUGUCUUAACGGAAAAUUCUUCUAAGAUUAGUGGACUUGCCUGUUUAUACAGUGCAUUUAAGCUUUUAUAUAAGUACAACUGACGUGAGAAAACGGGAGCAGUUGAGUCACAGUUGUGUUGAAACCUGCUAUACAGUGCAUUUAAGCUUUUAUAUAAGUUUGCAUGUUUGCAGCUUCUACAGUGAAAACUAUUGCAAAAUUAGUAGAUCUAUAGGUAUUCUAAGUAUAUGGUAGCAAAUUGUCACAAAAGGUUUCGUGGUGUAGUUGGUUAUCACGUCAGUCUAACACACUGAAGGUCUCCGGUUCGAACCCGGGCGAAGCCAUCUAAUUUUUUUUUCUUUUUUUUCUCGCAUUUUCCAAUGAGUAAAAAAAAGGAAAAAAUAUAUUUGGCCCAUACAGGUCUCGAACCUGUGACCUUCGCGUUAUUAGCACGACGCUCUAACCAGCUGAGCUAAUAGGCCUUUUAUCAGUUGAUCAGUUUUUACGUAUUUAUAUUAUAAAUACUGAAUAUUAUGUACCUUCACCACAAGGGCUAAUGGUCCCUGCUAAAGUGGCGUUUUGAUAUCAAAAGCAUCUUUUAGUGCCCCCUGUGGCUAGUUUCCCAUUUCACCACCUAUGUUUGCAGGUAUUCAACCCUGUUGGAAUCUCCUUUUUUUGUCACUGUUUCUCACUUUUUGUGAUGUGAUGUGUGCGCAAAUAUUCCCACAGCAACUACACAAUAAUAAAGUCAUAUAUGCAAGCGACCGAAUAAUGGCAACUAUGUAUUAGCACUCUAUAUCUUGUGUAAAAAAAGUUUCAACAAUAUCGAUAUUCUCUCCCAUAAAAUAAAACCAUCAAUAGCUCACUUGUCCAUAUACCUGGAUGGAAAGUAAUGGCCGGUGUGGAGCACCCAAAGACGGCACGCCAAAUAUCGGUGUGUUAUUUAACUCCACUAGGUAGACAAGUCACUAUAUGCACCCAAUUAUGUAAGAAAAAUAAAUAAGACAAGAACGCCAUAGAUGGAGCUUUAUACAGAUGGGGACAAGAAUUUAGCACCACCCACUCAGUUUCCCUCUCACCUUUUUGCAUUGCUUUCAUAUGUAAAAAGAAAAAGUGAGGUGAUUUGCCACCUGCCUUAAAAUGAGAAGAUGANNNNNNNNNNNNNNNNNNNNNNNNNNNNNNNNNNNNNNNNNNNNNNNNNNNNNNNNNNNNNNNNNNNNNNNNNNNNNNNNNNNNNNNNNNNNNNNNNNNNNNNNNNNNNNNNNNNNNNNNNNNNNNNNNNNNNNNNNNNNNNNNNNNNNNNNNNNNNNNNNNNNNNNNNNNNNNNNNNNNNNNNNNNNNNNNNNNUAUAUAUUCACAUGUUUAUUUAUUUUGUAUUCGUUUGUGCAUGUCAAAAAAAACAUAAAUUUCCACAAGCAUACAUAAUACUCAAUGAUCUACAUCGACAAUAGGCUUUGAGAUUUUUCAAAGCAUGACAAAAAAAAUCAAAUGAGGUCAGCUGGAAAUUAAAGAUAUGUUCGGACAUCCAAACAAUUAUGAUCUCUUUGGUCCAAACUUCAAAGGAAUCAUUAUAGAAAAUAGGAGAUUCUAACUGUUAGAUUACUUUCCUACGUGACUAGUUGGGAUGGGAACCAUAAUGAUAUUUUCUAUGGCCUACUUGACAUGUAUUCGGAAGGAAAAUUUAUGUCGAGCCAAAUCUUCUGAAAAUAAUUUCGUUGGUUCAAUGACAGCUAUGUGCUUGCACCUAAUGCUUUAGAAAAUUCCUGAAUUUUUCCCUCUUGCAAUAAAUCAACAUCCAUAUUUUGCGCAUUACUGUAUCUUCAAUUCCCAUAAGAUUCAACAUAGCAUGACAUGAAAUAUGUAUGUUAAUUUUUCCGGUUCCUAUCUUUUUAAAAUGCUGCAAAAGGAUGUGGUGUGUUAUCUUCAAAAAAUAGUGGGAGUGUGAUAGUUAUUGAAAUGCAUGUAGGACGGAGACUAACAUUUCAGUAAAAUUCAGCUUAUAAUACUAAAACUGAAAAAGUUGCCAAACCUACGGCAACCAAGAGCCGCCAAGAUUUCUUAAAUAAAAACCAUUUUCGCGACCUCCCCCUAAGAAGACAUAAAUUUUUCCUUGUCUUGACAUUCAAAAACACUGAGUGGGGGUUAUCGGCCGAAUUUCACUAAGAGCAUGCAUAAAAGAGAGCUGUCUAUUAUUAUUAUUUUGCUAGGCUUUCAGAAUUUAGUUUGAUAUUCCUUUAAUUCAGAAUUCAUAAUUUGCCGAGAAAUAGCACUAUAAAGUCAAGCAUUCCUAAACUUGACCAGGAUUAGGUUUUAUUCCUAGGGUAAUAAAUUCUAAGUUCUAAAAUUUAAGCAAAGAGACUUAUUUUUCCAAAAGAUUAGAUUCAUAGUUUCCCUCCAUUCCAAGAUACAAGGUGUAGUUUCUUAUGAAAAAACAAAUUUCUCUAUGCCCGGCCAAAUUUAAAAUAAAAUAUCUCUAUGUUUGGAAACAUUUUAUAUUUUGAAAAAAAUCAGUAGAGCUUAUAUUUUGAAAACGGGAGUUAGUAGGUACACCAAUAAUUCGAUAUACCCACAAAAUGCUGGCUCUAGUUGCUUUCAUGGUUCCUUUGUUGUAAGAAAGAAGCUAGUAGAGGCAAAUGGAAUCAAAUUAUGGGAGGAGGCGGCCCUAUCCUUAUUCCUCUUCCCCACGCGGUUGCUCUCGUCCAUCCUUUGCGAAAAGUGCAGCAUCUCUCAUCACCUUCUUCAUCUUCUCCUCCUCAUCCCUUCAUGCUCACUCGCCUAUAAAUAUCCCUCGCUGCCUGCCAUUGUUCCUCAAGCCAGCAAGCAAGAAGCACACAGGAAGCUCCUAGUCAACACCAAUCAAAGCCUCCAUCCAAUCCCAAGCAACCUCGAAGAUGUCUUGCUGCGGAGGAAGCUGCGGCUGCGGCAGCGCCUGCAAGUGCGGCAAUGGCUGCGGCGGCUGCAACAUGUACCCGGAGGUCGAGGCCGCCGGCGCCACCCUCCUCGUCUCCGCCACUGCCACCCACAAGGCGUACGUCCCUUCUCUUGACAAAAUUUUCUCCACAGCUCAUACAUCAUCAUGCACUCGAUCUUAGUUACAAUAUGGCUGUAUGUUGAUCUUGGUAUGGAUGGGGUACGUGCAGGAGCUCCGGCGGGAUGGAGAUGGCGGCGGAGAACGGCGGCUGCGGCUGCACCCAGUGCAAGUGCGGCACCAGCUGCGGCUGCUCCUGCUGCAGCUGCUAGAUCAUUGAUCAUGCAUGCGCCGCGUGCAUCAUAUCUAUGGUCUAUCUACCAUCUACUACCAUGUAACGCUGCCUGAUCGAGGGUCUUUGUAUGUAUGUACGCACCUGCCUGCAUGAGCAGAGCGGGUGCCAUGCCAUGCAUGUAAACCCCUAAAUAAAAUCUCCCGUGGUUUUGCUUACAUCGUGUUGUUAGAUCCUCCUCCUAUUAGUGUUGCUUUCGGGUUCUUCUUAUGCACGAGCAGGAUCAGAGGCCGGUCUUUUGUUCUUGGUCUUCUCCUCAAACUGUCGUUUUCCUCUUCUCUAUGGUUCCAUUUGCAGCAGUAUUUUCUUCUUCUGUUGCCGAGUUCUGUAUCAGACUGCCUUGUUUUGUGGUUUAUCCCUAUUCAUCUUGAAAUAUAGGUAUAGCGCAUGAAUUUAUUUGCAAAUGGUGUAUCUCAACGGGACACGAUGGUAUGCGUAUCUUGCAGGAUGUAUUGAUCUGUCUAUCUUAUGCGUCUUAUAUUAAAAAAAAAUUACAUUAAGGUCUCGUGGUGUAGUAGGUUACCACGUCAGUCUAACACACUACAUGGCGAAGCCAAAUUAUCAUUGUUUUUCCUUGCAUGCAAAAUGCAGCAAUAGAUCUUCGUCCUUGGCUAGUUUCCCAUAUUUUCACCGCCUAUGUUGCAGGUAUUCGACCCUAUUGGAGUCUCCUUUUUUGUCACUGUUUCUCACUUUCUGUGAUGUGAUGUGUGCGCAAAUAUUCCCACAGCAACUACAUAAUAAUAAAUCCAUUUACGCAAGCGCCCGAAUAAUGGCAAUGAUAUAUUACCGCUCAAAGCGCAUCUCCUAAUUAACCUGUCAUGUCCAUAGCUGCGUCUAAGCUCUCGGGGCAGAAAUACUCACUCUCGACCACUGCUUCAUAUCACCGAAUCCACACGGCCAAAUUACGUCCUCCAUUUUUUAAGCGGUGACACUAUAUCUCGUGGGAAAAUUGUUUCCACUGUUCGAUAUCCCUCCCUUUGAUGAAAAAAUUCACGCUUGGCUUCUGCAUCACAGAGUGCAGAUAACGAAAAUUGUUUUCUAUGUUCUGAGCUGGAACACUAUAUCUUGUGUAAAAAAAUUGUGUCAACAAUAUCGAUAUUCCCUCCCAUAAAAUAAAAUCAUCAAUAGCUCACUUCUCUAUAUAACUGAAUGGAAAGUAAUGGGCGGUGUGGAGCACCCAAGACAGCACGCAAAAUAUCGGUGUUAUUUUAACUCCACUACGUAGACAAGUCACUAUAUUUACCCAAUUAUGUAAGAAAUAUAAAUAACUCAAGAACUGUCUGGCCAUAGAUGGAGCUUUCUACAGGUGGGGACAAGAAUUUGGCACCACCCACUCAAUUUCCCUCUCACCUUUUUUGCAUUGCUUUCAUAUUAAAAAACAAAAAAAAAAUAGUGAGUUGAUUUGCGAUCUGCCUGAAAAUGACAAGAUGACGGUUGGGGGUUAAAAAAACAUUCAAAUGCAUUUUAUAUAUUCACAUGUUUACUUAUUUUGUAUUUGUUUGUGCAUGUCAUAAAAAUCAUCAAUUUCCACAAGCAUACAUAAUACUCAAUGAUCUACAUUGACAAUAGGCUUUGAGAUUUUUCAACACAUGACAAAAAAAAUCAAAUGAGGUCAGCUGGAAAUUAAAGAUCUGUUUUGACUUCCAAAUAAUUAUGAUCUCUUUUGUUCAAACUUAAAAGGGAUCAUUACAGAAAAUUUGGAGAUUCCAAUUGUUAGAAUAUUUUCCUACAGGACUAGUAGGGCUGUGAACCAUAAUGAUAUUUUCUAUGGCCGAAUUGACAUGUAUACGUAAGAAAAAUUUCUGUCGAGCCAAAUCUAUUGGAAAUAGUUUCGUUGGUUCAAUGACAACUAUGUGCUUGCACCUAACGCUUGAGAAAAUUCUUGUAUUUUUUCCCUCUUGCAAUAAAUCAACAUCUAUAUUUUACACAUUUACUCCAUCUUCAAUUCCCACAGAAUUCAACACAGCAUGACAUGAAAUCUGUAUGUUAAUUUUUCCGGUUCCUGUCUUUUUAAAAUCCUGCAAAAGGAUGUGGCAUGUAAUCUUUAAAAAUAGUGGGAGUGUGAUAGUUAUUGAAAUGCAUGUAGGAUGGAAACUAAAAUUUCAGUAAAAUUCAGCUUAUAACACUAAAACUGAAAAAGUUGCCAAGCCUAUGGCAACCAAGAGCCGCCAAGAUUUCUUAAAUAACAAAUAUUUUCGGCAACCUCCCCCUAAGAAGACAUAGCUUUUUCCUUGUCUUGACAUUAAAAAACACUGAGUGAGGGUUAUCGGCUGAAUAUAUUCACUAAGGGCAUGCACAAAAGAGAGUUGCCUAUUAUUAUUUUACAAUGCUUUCAGAAUUUAGUUUGAUAUUGGUUUAAUUCGUAAUUCAUAAUUUACCGAGAAAUACCACUACGAAGUCAAGCAACCCUAAACUUGACCGUUAUGGCUGCAUGCAUCAAUGUAUGCCGUGGGCCGCGGGGGGUCUUGUUUGGAAAAUAAUAAUGAUCUUAUAGUGCAAUGAUUGGUCAUUGCCUAAGGUAUUUCCCUCCGUUCCAAGAUACAAGGUGCAUUUUUUAUUAAAAAAACAAAAUUCCCUAUGUUUGACCAAAUUUAAAAUAAAACGUCUCUGUGUUUGGAAACCAUUUAUUUUUAUAAGCUCGAUCAAACAUAGAAGAUUUGACUUCAGAAAAAAAAAUUAGUACAACUUAUAUUUUGAAACGGGAGUUAGUAGGUACACCAAUAAUUCGAUAUACCCACAAAUGCUGGCUGUAGUUCCUUUCAUGGCUCCGUUGAUGUAAGAAAGAUGCUAGUAGAGACUAGAGACAAAGGGAAUCAAAUUAUGGGAGGAGGCGGCCCUAUCUAUAUUCCUCUUCCCCACGCGGUUGCUCCCGUCCAUCCUUUCCCAAAAGUGGAGCAUCUCUCAUUUCCUUCUUCAUCUUCUCCUCCUCAUCCUUCCUUGCUCACUCGCCUAUAAAUAGCCCUCGCUGCCUGCCAUUGUUAAGCCAGCAAGCAAGAAGCACAAAAGAGUCCAACACCAAUCAAGGCCUCCAUCCAAUCCCAAGCAACCUCGAAGAUGUCUUGCUGCGGAGGAAGCUGCGGCUGCGGCAGCGCCUGCAAGUGCGGCAACGGCUGCGGCGGCUGCAACAUGUACCCGGAGGCUGAGGCCGCCGGCGCCACCCUCCUCGUCUCUGCCACCGCCACCCACAAGGCGUAAGUUCCUUCUCUUAACAAAAUUUCCUCGUCAACUCAUACAUCAUCAUGCACUCGAUCGUAAUAAUAUGACUGUAUGUUGAUCUUGGUAUGGAUGGAUGGAUGCAGGAGCUCCAGCGGGAUGGAGAUGGCGGCGGAGAACGGCGGCUGCGGCUGCACCCAGUGCAAGUGCGGCACCAGCUGCGGCUGCUCCUGCUGCAGCUGCUAGAUCAUUGAUCAUCGAUCAUCGACCAUGCAUGCACCUGCCGCGCGCGUGCAUCAUAUCUAUGAUCGAUCGGUCCAUCUACUACCAUGUGUAACGCCAC